rnacentral:lncRNA from 1 species
GGGCCUUUUAGGAAAAAAAAAAUGGAUCUUCCAGAAGUGGGCUUUGGAUUUGAUGACAAGCCUGGACUGACAAAUGUGCAAGCUGUUCUCCUUUGGACAUUCUGAUGCAAUCAGCAGAUUAAAAUAUUAAACUACAUGGUUAUUACAGGCAACCAUCUUCUCAAUGAAUUACAAUAACAAGCAGAUUCGACAAUCCUUAAUAAAAUGAAACAGAAACCAUAAUUAUUCAUCCAAUUAAAACUUCUAAUGGCCCUGGAUGUUUGUUCACAGCCUCUCCUCUUCCUCUUCAUCACCAAUGAGCUUCUUCUUCGUACGUUCAAUGUAAUCCGAAAACUUAUCCUUCGCUGGGCCGUUGCCUGACAACUUGUCUCUGUUUUUUGCUUCGCCUGAUUUAUACAUACUUCUGUCUGUGAUAUAUUCAAUAUGCACUCCUGAUUUCCCACUUUCUUUUUUCAAUUUCACUUUAGGAUUUAACUUACUUACUUCACCAGCAAUGGUGUUUGCUGAUGUUUCAAUCUUGGAAGCAACUUCUGCUUUUUGGGUUUUCUUCUGAAUGGGUUCAAGUGGAGUAGCUGGCUUCGGCUUCUCAUUCUGGCUUGAGUAAUCAAAGUUUAUAGGAACCACUGCAUCUACUUCCUCAUUUUUAGAAGAUUUUGGCGGUUUUGGAGAAGGUGGUUUGGAUUGGAUACCAAUGAUUUUCACAGAGGAAGCAGGUGGCGAAGAACUUGAAGCAGGGCUUGCAGACCUAGAACGUUGUACGACUUGUGAUAUGCGACGUACUCUUUGGAAAGCAGGAAAGACAGUGACUGCUUUGUAAAGCUUUUCACACACAUCCAUGGCGUAGCUAGUUUCUUUCUUUUCCAUUCAGUGAACAAAUAGAAAAGCUGAGGAGAUUAUGAACUCAAGAGUUUGCAAUGCAAGGCUAAUGCAACUUAGGACGGCUAUAAUGAUUUGGAUACUAUUGGGAACAUUGUGGUGGGACACGAAAACAACAAUAGAAGUAGAGUAUGAUCCUUGCGGGAAAACGAGUUGCGUUGCUUUUGGCUAAGAUUCCUAAUAAUUACUUAGUGAGAAAUGGUUUCACAUUUAGGGAUCAGAUUCCCUGCUUUUGCUGCUUAUUUUCCACCAGAAUCUAACAAGUUCAGCUUGAAACUCAGGUAAAGAUUAUAAAAAACCUGAGGGAAUCAUUCAUAUCAGUUGAGUUUUUUUUUGUUCAAUUGGCCUUCAGCUACUAAUACAUGUUUCCAAGACUCCAAGCUACUCAAAGUCUCCAAGUAAAAGAAGGCCACUAACAAAUUUUUGGGAACCUAUGCCUUCCAAGUUUGGGGGAUAACAUGUGUAUCACGAUUGUUCCGAUUGGAUUCAGGAAGGCCUUUUCUUUUGCUGGCAAGAACCUUCAGUCUACCCCACCAGAACCCUUCCCCUUUCUGUCUUCUGCUGUUGUAGCCAAUUAAAAUUACCCAUUUGAAGAAAUACAAUAUUAGAAAAGAUGAUGUUUUUUUUAGGAAAAAUUUAUGCUCAAGUAGUUCAUUGAUUUUCUCAUGAUCUUUUUCUUGCCCCUUCCAAUUUUUCCAGUGUUAGAGCAUGACCCAAAUUAUGAUGCUUGGUUGUAAUGGAAUUGCUUAUAAUUCAGCAUUGCUGUAUUGCUAAUGCAAAGCACAGAAGACUCGCAAAAUAAUCGUGAAGCAGUAUAGAAAAUCUAUGAGAGCUGGUCAAUGAAUAUUUUCUCAUUGAUUAAAAAAUUAUUUCAUCCAUAUUCUUGAUCUUCUUGCACCAAGAAAAUAAAUAAAGUAAACAAGGUGCAUCUCUCACAACAACCAUUCACCAAAAUCUCUUUAAUAUUAAUGUGAAAUGUCCUGCUGUUCGUAGUUUCUUGCUCUUCAUCUACGAUGCUGGAGUGUUUCCACCACCAAUACUUGAUGUAGUUCUGAUCUUAAUCCCGGCACGAUCAAUAAAUUCCGAGAACUCAUCUCUUCCGGAGGCAUUAUUUCCGUCAUUGACAUGUGGCACAUUGUCAGCAUUUGGAAGAUAACUAAUAGUCGACAUAGUCCUCAUUCUUGCCCUUACACGAUCAAUAUAAGUAGUAAAACUUUCUUCAAUGUGAAUUUUAUUACCUUCUGGUUUCGUAAAUUGAGGGGAUCCCACCUCGGAAUUAGACUUGGCCACUCGGCCAGGACUGCCAGUAUUUGCCGACGAAGCAUGAGGCUGUAACUUGGAAGAUUCAAGAGGAGUAGCCGGCUUAGGCUGGCUUGAAUAAUCAAAGCUAAUAGGAACCACAUCACCUGCCUCCCUUUCAUGGGCUGUGUCUGGGUGGGGACAUCCUGAUUUAGGAUGUUGUAAAGAACCUGGUUUGUUACGAAAUGAGUGGAUAACUGAGCAGACAAGAACUGCCUUAUUGAUCUUCUCAUACACAUCCAUGGAUAAGCUUUGGCUCUUCUGCUUGAAAAGUUGAAAGAAACAAAUUGAAAGGAUCUAAAUAAUAAGAGUUUGCGAAAAAGGAAUUACGUUAACAAAAUUUCAAAAGGAAAUGAUUUUUUUAGGAUCUUAUUCUAUCUUUCAUGUUUCGUCUACGAAGCUUAAAUUUCAAGCAAAGAGUAUUUUAGCGGUUGUUGUACAACAACGACGCGUGGAAAAUAAGUACAUUUUGACUACUUUCUAUCAGUUCAAAAAAAGAAAAAAAGGACUAUUUUCUAUCAGCAUCAGUAAAGUAUCAGAUUCAAUUCCAGUGUCCAAAUAUGGAAAAAUUAUAUUAUAAAAGGUAAUUCCACAUCACCAAAUAGUAAGCUUAUAAGAAUUUAUCAUGAAAUGAAAUAUAGUUAUUUAAAAGAGAAAACUCUUUGGUAGCUUUUUUUUUUCUUCAGGGUUUGCUUUUCUUGUUUUUAGAAUCGUCAUUUCAUAUACUAAAUCUUAGAUAAAAUCACAAGCCAUUGAAAAUACUGUAAAAUUUCUCCCAAAUAUGAUGUCCACAAAUCUCAUUUUAGGAAUGAAAGAUUGUAAGAAAAAGAGAGAGAAAAAAAAAAUCAUGAUGCUUCCCUAUCACUAUCAUAAACAAGGGGUGACUAUAUAAUUAGUUGCAAGUUUUUCCUUUUAAUACUUGGAAGCAUUGUUCACAAUUGUAAACCUUCAUUUUUAACUUAUAAAUUAAAUUUACAUUUGGAUAAUAUAAAUAAUUAAAUGCUAUCACGUUUAAUCAAAGAUAAUAUGUAUGCUUAUUAGGUAUUAGGGGUGCGCAGUAUUCGGUUCAAACCGAAAAAAUCGACCGAACCGAAUCGAUUUGAAAAUUUAGUUCGGUUUUUUAUAUAUUUCGAUUCGGUUCGGUUUUUAAUUUCAGAAAUUUCGGUUAUUUUGGUUCGGUUCGGUUUUGAUCAGAAAAAAACCAAAAAAACCGAACCGAACCGAUUAGUGAUAAUAAUAUAUUUUUUCAAUAAUAUAAAGAAAUUAAAUCAUAUUAAAAUUAAAAUAUUUUAAUUAAAUUUUAAAAUAUUAAAAAUAAAGUGUAAAAAAUAAAAAAUUAUUAAAAAUCAAAACCGAUCAAACCGAACCGAAUCAGACCGGUUCGGUUCGAUUCGGUUUCUGACCAAAAUCGAUUCGGUUCGGUUUUCAUAAAUACUAAAAUUUAGGUUUUCAGUUUUUUUUAUUCGGUUCGGUUUUGAACCGAACCGACCGAAUGCUCACCCCUAUUGCUUACCUCAUUGAUUCAGUAAUAUUAAAUUACAAAAUAAUGAUAAUAUUUGAAUAUAUUGUAUUCUUUAAUAUAUUAAAAUAUAUAAUUGAAACUUUAAAAUCACAAAAGGAUCAUAUUAUUUAACCAAUUUAAAUUAUUCUAUAUCUUUAAUUAAUAUUUUUAUUAUAUUGCUAUAUUUUUAAUUAUCUAUAUUAUAAAAUAUUCAUUAAAAAUUGAUAAAUAAAAAGUUUAAUCCACUAUAUAAAAAAACAGUGAAAAUAAAUAUCAAGUAAUUUAAUAAUAAAUUUUAAAAUGUUAAUUUUAUUUUUAUAUAUUAAAAGUUACAAAUAUUUAAUUAUUUAAAUUUUCAUGAGCCGCGCGCAAUUCCCUUCUUAUUUAUAAACUUUGGAGAAAACUCGAUUUAUAAUUUAGAAAAUGGACGAGUGCUUUUGAAUUUUGUUGAUGGUUACACUCGUCCACUACAUUAUUUAGUGGCGGCGGAGUUAGCAAUUUCAAAAGAUUUUAAACUACGGAUGCCGACGAUGUACGAUUGGGAUUCAAUUCCAAUUCCAGCUCUAUCUUGAUAUCCAAAUCAAACUGAAACUUUUUAUUUUAAUUUCAUUUCUUGCCUUUUUGGUCACAUCUAAUUCUUGGUUCUUAAAUUUUAGUAUGACACCAAUCCAAUUUUGCAUUCUUUUAACACAAUUAUUUGCUUUUUUCAAAAAAAAAAAAAAAAACCUCAUCCUUGAGAGUUAGUUAUUAAUAAAUAUUAUAUUGUAUAAUACUUUAAACUAUUAAUUAUGUAAUUUUUAAUUAUAAAGCGUCUAUAUUUUAGCUAAUUCUUUACACAUAUAUAAAAUAAAUUAUUAAACAUAAUAUUAAAAUAGUAGUAUACUUAUAACCAAGAAUGAUAAAAUGAUUUAUUGUAUUUAUUAGCAAGAUUAUUAAGAAGCAAUAGAUAAAUGAAAAGUUAUACUAAUUAAAUAUACAAUGUCUUGAAAGUAUAUAUCUACAAAUCAUAGAAAAACCAUACAUAAAAUCAAUUUGGUAUUCUCAUUUUUAGUGAAAAACUAGAAUCAAACUAAAAUAUUAAAAUAAAUUUGAUUCAAUACAGCUUUUAUCAGAUCAGUCCGAAACCUCCGAGAAAUGUGAAGAACACUAGUUAGAGCAUUGCAAUAGAAAGUAGCAACAGUAAUGAGAACAUAUAAAACCUUCCAUUACAUCUUCAACCCAAAUUUACCCAAAGAAUAACAUCAUAUACAUGCAUGCCUGCCUGUAAAUCAUCUUAAGUUUUAAAAGAUUAUCGUCGAAUAGAUUUUCACAAAGCCUAUAAGCUACUAAGAUGAGAAUCUUUACAAGAGAAUGUUUCUCAGCACUCUAGGCAAUGACAGCAGGAGCUGACAGGGAGUAGUCCAUAAAUAUCAAUAAAGUUAUUACCAUAAUUAAAAGGAUUUUACAACAAAAUCUUAUGUGCAGGAAAAUCAGCUCCCCAUUAAAAUUGCCUAUACCUGGGACAAUUGCUAAAUCUUGGAAACAUAUCCUCAGUGGCGGAAAGUCUUCACUACCUGCUCUAUCCGUCUCCGGCACAGAGGACAGUUUGUCAGAUGUGAAGAGCAUGUUGUACAACAGCACAUAUGGCCGCACCUGCAGAUUACGUAAUAACGAUGAGCAUAUUACGACUUCAGAAAUAAUGGUGCAGUUUAGAGCUUUGCUUAUAAAAUAUACUUGUUGAUGUACUAUAUGACAUCCAUUCACCAAUUGAUUUUUAAUGUUUGAGUUCAUACGUUGAGUUUUUAUGUCUAUUUUAAAUGGAACCAUCGUUAAUUUGAGUCUUGGCUUUUACCCUGAAACACGUGUUAUACCUGAACUACAUGUACCGUUUCAUGCUUGUCAUAGGGGGAGUUGCAUAUGUAAAUAUACACACAUAAUAUAGAUAUACAAGAAGCUAUUAAGCUUACGGGAGAAAAACGGCAUUAUACUCCUGCUCAAGGCAUAUUACACAGAGAUCUGGAACUGGACGUUCCCUCUUAGAAUUGUCGGAUCCAUUCUCUGCUUUUCCAUUUGAACCUAUUAAAAAUAAUUGCACAAUCUUAUUAUUACGUUACAACCAGUUUCUCUCCAAAAUUACCAUUAUAAGGAAUUUACCUUCAGAAUCUUGACCUUGUCUCUUAGCAGCAGCAGCAGCAAGAACCCUGUAAUAACAACACCUUUUAGCUCCUUUCAUGAAAAUGGACAGUUUCUACAUCUAAGACAAGUACAAGAAUGACCCCAUUGACAUUAUGAAUCAUAUAUUGACUGGACUCUAGGUAACCAUUCAGUUCAACUGCUUCAACAUGCCUGUCAGAGAAAUGCAUUGAAGUUUUGAAUUAAAAUAGUUCAAGAACUAACAUGAUUCCAAGAAUUCAUUAUGCCAUUUGUAUAAUGUAAGCAAUCAUUUAGAGUAAAUUUAAGCAGAACUUCAACAGUUUGCAAAUACAUGCUGGUAUCCUGUAAAAUGCUUGUUACCAAAAGUAAAACAUCAAAUUUGAAAUUAAGUUUUACAAAUUAGGCAUUCAUUCACCUGGUUAUGUUAUAUCCUGCGGACAAUGAUUAAACAAAGUGAAACAUACCUGCUCUGCAAUUCCCAACGGCGCCUUCUUUCCAUGAUAUACUGUAUAGCAUGCUUGGCAAUCAGAAAAGCGCCAAAAACUGUCAAGCUGACUGAGGCAUAUCUAUACCACCUGGUACAUAAAUGUCCAAUUUAACAAUUUCAUCUUCAUAAAAUAUGCAAAAAAGGAAAGAAGGCAUAUGUGCAAGCAAUUGAACCUUGCCCACUUUCCCAAAUUCCCAAUGAGUUCAUCAAUAGUCCUAGGAGAAACGUAAAAUGGCCCUUUGUGGGGACGCUGGACCCGAACAGUUCCAAUAUCAUCUUUGACAGCCUGAUUAUAAAUUGAAGAAACCAAUAUAGAAUAUCAAACAAAUGAACAUGAUAAUUCCAAACAUAUAUGAUAAACUCAAAUGAAUCAGCAUCCAACACAGAGACCUUAAAAUUAAAGACCAGAUUAAAUAUAAAUUAAAUUUUUAGAAUUUAAGAAGACCAUUAAACUGGAAGCAAGGGUAAAGAUUUCUCAAUUAAUGCACUAACUUUAAGUGCAAUCCAGAAUUCAAAAUUUCUCUUUAUUGAUGUUGUUUCGAUGUCUCCCUAGUUAAGAAUUGAGUAAUUCCAGAUGCAAGAGUAGAGUAAUUCCAGAUUUUUCUUUCAUGGUAUUAUCAGCAUUGUAACCGAAAGAAACGAACUAGCAAGCAGAACAAUUAAGAUGUUUCCCAACCAAGGUUACUAGCAAUAUGAGUCAGGAAUCCAAUAGAAAUUUGUAGUUUCAGACUUUUCAGUUUAUGAAACUGAUAUUUCAGGCUGAAAAAGGUGACCCAGUGCGCAAAGCAUCACACACUUGUGGGCUUUGAAGGACGGUUGAUGUACACAGCCUUACAUCUAUUUUGCAGAGAGGCUGUUUAAGGCAAGAAUAAAAUACUUUCAUCCCGAAACUUCUUCAAGCAUAGAUUCACAACCAAGAGUUACCAGAAGAGUAUUAACCUUUCAUCAGUAACAAUUGCAAAAAGAAAGAGAUGUUUCUCAUACACUUGAAAUUGGUGGCUCCUAAUGGCCAUCAGAAAGCAACCAAAACUGGAAACAACGUCAUAGUGAGCAGAAGUUUCCUGUUCCGGUUAGGGAUCUACCUAGAAACAAGAACUGAAAUGAAAUUUUGGUUCAGUUCCAGUUUGAUUCUUUGUUGUUUCAGUUUGGUUUGAUAUGGUUUUCGGUUCUUUAGUUCCAGUAUACUUCAGUUCGAUUCUCGACUCUUAAAACAAUUUUAUAUCUUUUUUUUAUGAAAAACUAUAAUUGUAUUACUAUUUAAGUUUUAAAAUUAGUUACUAAUACAAAUUAUAUCAUAUAAUGCAUAUAAUACACAUUUAAACCAUUUACUAAUUAUAUAAUCUUCAAUUAUAAGGUACACAUAUAAUAAAUUAUUAAAUAUAUUAGAAAUAUAGUGAUACACUUGUAAUUAAAAUAAUAAGGUGAUUUAAUAUAUUUAGAAAAGAUAGGUGAAUAAAAGAGAAUACAAAUUUGUAAAUUAUCCAUAAUUAUAAUAUACAUAAUAUAUACAAUGACGCAUAUCAUAAUAUUAAUGCAUAUAAAUAUAUAUAUAAUUACAUACAAAAGUAUAUAAUAUACCUAACAAAUUAUAAAAAAACAUAUGUAUAAAAUUGGCUAUCGUUUCAAUUCUAGUAUGGUUCAAGAAUAGUUUCGAUUCGAUUCCUGGUCACAAACCACAACCAAACAAAAACAGUAAAAUAAGUUCAAUUCGGUAUAAUAUCAAUGUUUUCAUAUGGUUUCGGUUUGGAACCCUCAAGAACAGUACACACCCCCUAACAGUGAGAUGGAUAACGAGAUGAACACUCAUCAUAGAAUGGUAUGACAUGUCUAGGAAUGAUNNNNNNNNNNNNNNNNNNNNNNNNNNNNNNNNNNNNNNNNNNNNNNNNNNNNNNNNNNNNNNNNNNNNNNNNNNNNNNNNNNNNNNNNNNNNNNNNNNNNNNNNNNNNNNNNNNNNNNNNNNNNNNNNNNNNNNNNNNNNNNNNNNNNNNNNNNNNNNNNNNNNNNNNNNNNNNNNNNNNNNNNNNNNNNNNNNNNNNNNNNNNNNNNNNNNNNNNNNNNNNNNNNNNNNNNNNNNNNNNNNNNNNNNNNNNNNNNNNNNNNNNNNNNNNNNNNNNNNNNNNNNNNNNNNNNNNNNNNNNNNNNNNNNNNNNNNNNNNNNNNNNNNNNNNNNNNNNNNNNNNNNNNNNNNNNNNNNNNNNNNNNNNNNNNNNNNNNNNNNNNNNNNNNNNNNNNNNNNNNNNNNNNNNNNNNNNNNNNNNNNNNNNNNNNNNNNNNNNNNNNNNNNNNNNNNNNNNNNNNNNNNNNNNNNNNNNNNNNNNNNNNNNNNNNNNNNNNNNNNNNNNNNNNNNNNNNNNNNNNNNNNNNNNNNNNNNNNNNNNNNNNNNNNNNNNNNNNNNNNNNNNNNNNNNNNNNNNNNNNNNNNNNNNNNNNNNNNNNNNNNNNNNNNNNNNNNNNNNNNNNNNNNNNNNNNNNNNNNNNNNNNNNNNNNNNNNNNNNNNNNNNNNNNNNNNNNNNNNNNNNNNNNNNNNNNNNNNNNNNNNNNNNNNNNNNNNNNNNNNNNNNNNNNNNNNNNNNNNNNNNNNNNNNNNNNNNNNNNNNNNNNNNNNNNNNNNNNNNNNNNNNNNNNNNNNNNNNNNNNNNNNNNNNNNNNNNNNNNNNNNNNNNNNNNNNNNNNNNNNNNNNNNNNNNNNNNNNNNNNNNNNNNNNNNNNNNNNNNNNNNNNNNNNNNNNNNNNNNNNNNNNNNNNNNNNNNNNNNNNNNNNNNNNNNNNNNNNNNNNNNNNNNNNNNNNNNNNNNNNNNNNNNNNNNNNNNNNNNNNNNNNNNNNNNNNNNNNNNNNNNNNNNNNNNNNNNNNNNNNNNNNNNNNNNNNNNNNNNNNNNNNNNNNNNNNNNNNNNNNNNNNNNNNNNNNNNNNNNNNNNNNNNNNNNNNNNNNNNNNNNNNNNNNNNNNNNNNNNNNNNNNNNNNNNNNNNNNNNNNNNNNNNNUUCUCUACAAACUUAAUCUAAACAGUACCAAAAUGACCGAAAAACAAACCAGAUCAGCUCAGUUUAGUCUUUGGUAACCAUUGAAUGCUUUCCACUAUGGGAAAAUAAGGAAAAUGGGAGGAAGAAAAAGGAGAAAUUUUUUUGAAAAUAAUCUAUUUCACCUUGUUUGGGAGAGAGGGAAGUCGGUAAAGAAAACUGGGAGGAAGUUUGUGCAUAGGGUCCACAAAAUUUAGAACAAAUUGGUGUAAAGUCCAAUGCCUUACUGGUUUAGUCUUAUAACACCAUCUUUUAUUACAGAGGGGAUAAAAUUAUAAUUUCACCAUCAUAAAACAAAUUCCCCCUUAAUUUCUUCCUUUCAUUUUCUUUCCAAUCCAAAUAAAAGAAAAGAGAAUAACCUUUUUGAAUCAUUCCUCCCAUUUUCCUUCCUAUGUUUUCUAAAACAUAGCAUAAGAGCAAUCAUGAAGCCAGAUGUAUUAGAAAGUUCGGCAAAGUUUGAAAUUCCGAGGACACAUUUACAACAGCUCUAUAUAUGUACCUACUGAUAGUGGCUUAUAUUGCAAAUGUAAGAGCUGUUUCUGCAGAAAUCAUAAUCCUAAAGCUACAUGUUAGAAACAACCUCAUCACCCAUUACAAUGCAGUCAUUAACUCCAAAUUUGUAAAUAAAGUCAUAUCUAGUGACACUUUAAAUAAAUAAACAAAAGACAUACCUCACCAACCACCGUUAAUGAAGUACCAGUUGGAAGUACCCUUUCAAUACGCUUCACACCAAGCAUCUGAAAUUAUAAUCACAUCAAACAAGCUUGAAAAAGAGUUAAAGCACUGUUCUAUAGAUGGAAAACACAGAAGAAGAUGAACCUUGAGGCCUUGGAGAUAGUCUAAUGUUCCACGUACAAGUGAUCGUCCUGACUCUUCAAAAACUUCACUUCCAACAGUUAACACAAAACCUGAGGCACCCCGGGCCCCCACAACAUAUACUCGAUCAGUUCCAUCAUCCUGACAUGAGCCACAAAACACAAAUGAAUGGGUUUCUUAAUCAAACAUAUGAAAAGAACAUUACCAAUAUGCAAUGACACCUGAGAUAGAGAAAGAGGGGAGAGAGAGAGAGAGAGAGAGUAUCUCUCACCAGGUACCAUGGCACCUCUUUACUCAUUGAUAGCAUUAAGGCUGAGUCUUGAAUCCAAGAUCCAGCAUCGUUGUGCUUGAGGAAGUGUUGCUCAGCCUGAAAAAUAUACAAAUAUGAAUAUUCACAUACUGAUAGGCAGAAGAAAGAUGAUAACCUAUGUAGUUAUGCUCUUUGAAAUAAAAAAAUAUUAUGUUACCGUCUCCUCUACUAUAACACCUCUCAAGCCACUAUACUCGCAAUUGAUUGGAGUCUCAGAGCCAACUCUUCCAGAGAUAGAAACAACCGACGGUGAGAUGUUGCUUUCAAUAUCAAGUAAUUUUGCUGAAAGGUAAAAGAGAAAAACAUUCAGGCAACUUCCAGUCGCAUAUAUCAUUGGCAAAAAUAGUUAUCAGAUGAUUCAAAUUUUUUACAUCAUGAAUCAUGAAUCACAAUGUGCAUCAUCUAUGCUUCUAACUGAAGUUACAUGGAAACAUUCCCCAAAGCUUUUAGGCGAUGAAUUCAUUAUUCAGGAUAGAUAAUCAUCCCAGGUCCAUCUAAUUUUGAUAAUGCACCAUCAAUGUACCGGUUAACAUUGUAACAGAGUUACAAUUUGGCUGAAGCAAGGGUAAAGAGUCAAGCAUGGAACUUAUUCUAAUUAUCUAACAUCAAAGUUGGUAACAAGUGCUACCAAGUCCACUGCAAAGAUUCUCACAAUUAACUAACUAGCACUACUCUGAGAGUCAAUUCAACAAACGGCACUAGGAUCCAAAGUUCCUUCAGCUAUAACAUUACCUAUAUGACAUCAGGAUAUGGUUGCACGAACAAAGAACUUAGUCCCCCAUCAUGACCAGGAAAAAAGAAAAGGCAUUUUCAGCAGAAAAUGCAAAUUUACGACAAGCAAAUUACAUAAUCACAUUCCAACUUAAGGGGAAAAACAACAGCCAAUGAUUUUAUCAGGAUCACAUUAUCCCCGCUGACAUGACAGCAUUGAUCAAGUUAUGUUGCACGACGGGAGAAAAAUUGUUAAAGAUGCUUAAGCCUCUGAAAAUAAACUUCCAAAUAUAAGCAUCAACUAAACUGAAAGGCUCAACGCUUUAGUGAUGUAAACAACAAAGUGUCUGUCACAUUUAUUGCACUCGAACCAAGAUUUUAGAGCCAAUUAUCUAUAAGCACAAUCAUAAUAUAAUUUCUUAUUAGGUAGGGGCACACCUAAUUCCUUCAGUUGAUUGACUCUUGUGACCGACUUAAGAACCUCGGCGUCCCUACACAACCAUAAGAAACACAGACGCAAAUAAGUAAACGCCAUAAACGCAUCUGUAACUGUAAACCUGAGCCUACGUGCGUUCUACAGAGAAGGAAGAGGAAGAAAAACCUGCCACUGCUCCUGCCAAGCAAAUAAAGCGCAGCAGCACUCAAGCAGCAACUAAUUCCACCCCACGGAAGCAUUUUCUGCAAUCAGCUCAAUGAAAAUUAAAAACCCUAAGCGGCCUCAAACCGUCUGAAUUUGAAUUAUCAUCAUCGUUUGUAACAUAUCAUAAACAAAAGAAGAAAAACGAAACCCAAUCGAUAGAGAAAUACGACGGAAAACCACCAAGAGAAGCAAGACGAGUGAAUUCAGUAUGAGGGAACAAAGAUUAGCGAAGCUAAUGCAACAUGGAGGGAAAAAUAGAAGUCCUUCGACAGAGGAUACAAGGCAUUGUAGAAGGAGAAGAAGUUAGGCGAAGAUGACGGAAUCUGAAAGAGAGAAGGAUAGAGAAGGAGAGAAUCUGGUGCGAGAAGUGAAGGACAGUGAAAAGGAAGAGAGGGAGUGAGACAGAGGUUUACUGGGCUUCCUUUUCAAUCUUUCUUUUGUUCUUUUUCUUCUUCCUCUCGCGCGCACAAAGUAGGGUAACUUAUCCCAUUCCCACGCACGCCAACUCGAUCGCUAGAGACCAACAUGGAGGGACGCUGCUGUGGCCUGUGGGUCACGCCACCCCACUUAUCCAUGUGGAUGGCAUCGCAGAUUGAGUUUUGUUGAUAUCCGUCCAAUCGAAUCAUGUUGAAAUGAAUUCUCGGAUUUGAUAGGUUAAAUUUUAGAAAAUAAAAGUUGCAUUACACCUUGAUUGCACUGAUUCCUUUUUUUUUAAUACUUUUAAAAAAUAAAAUGAUAAUAUUCGAUAAUAAUACGCGUCAUUAUACCAGAUUAUCGAAUAGCAAUAACAUUAUUAUAUAUCACAUCUUUGAAACUAAACGUUUUAACUAUUUAUCAUAACAAUGCUAAAAAAUUAAAGUGUUAUCAUUUAUAAAAAAACAUAGACCUUGUUGCUAAAAAUAUGAAAGUGUAGAAUAUUAAAUUGUACUCUUUUUUCUAGUUAGAAGUUGAGAGUUCGUGAAAGUAAGAAUUCAUUUCCUCAUUCAAUUUUAAUACAGUUAAUAUCGAAUUAAGUCCACAGCUGCAUAUUUAAUUUUUAUUAAUCAGUAAUUAAUUGUUGAAAUUUAUUUAUAUAAUUUUAGUUUUCCUUAAUGUUUAUAAGAUAUAGUUGCUUUAACUUUAUGAAAAUAAGCAGAAGAAUGUAGUGAAUUUAAGUGCAAAGAAUUAGGAUUUGAAAUAAAAUAUAGCCAAUAUAAAAUUAGAAUUAAAACCACGCUCAAAUUACUUUAGAACUAAAGUAGAAUUUAAAUUGAAAUGUCUAAGUCUAAUUUCUUUCUGAAAAAUGUUAUUGCUUGUUUCUAAUUUUGGUUGUUAUAUAAAAUAGACUAGUGUUAUAUCUUGUACAAAAUAUGGAAUUUAGGUGUAAGUAUUCAAUAUAACAGUUGGUGAGAUUAUUCUCAUGAGGUUAAACUUACAAUUAUCAUAUUUUCAUUUUUAGAUUUUGUUAUUUGAAUUUGUUGAUAUUUUACGAGUAGGUUUGGCAUUUCUAUUAUAACUUAGAAGAAAAAAAAACUAGAUUUUAAAUACAGUAGUAAAUAGAUUUUAAAAAUUAAGUUGAAGUUAAUUUAAUAUAUUUUAGUUAUAAAAAUUGUGAAUAAUUGAAUUUAUUUAACGUAUUUUUAAAAUAUUUUUAAAUUUCUCAAUCAAACUCCAAAUGUGGCAUAUAUUUAAGGUUAUUUUGGUAAUUUCAAAGAUAAUUGGUAAAAAAUUACAUGGGGAGAAGUCUAAUUGGAUGGAGCUAAAAUAUGUAUAAAUUUUAAAAUAAAAGUGAUAUAUGUAUUAAUUUUAACAUUAUUCACGUAAAAAUAAUUUCUCUUUUUUCAAUAAAAGAUGAAUUUCACAAUUCUCAUUCUUUAAACACAGCGAAAAGGAUCGCUGACAGCACGUAGAGCCAAAUCUAACACAAAUUCGAACAACAUUGGAAAUCUUCUCUUUCUGUUGUAAACCCUACAAAUCUCAGAUUAUUUCUUUAGCUUCUAAUGGAAUUUGUACGAUCUUGGCAUCCAUUUGGCAUUUAUGUGAAACCACUAACCAGUCACAAUAACAUUUUGUAGUUAAUGAACUUUGGUUUGUAAUUAAAUGACCCGUUUACUGUCAGAGGUGGGUCAGAGUAAUUUCCUGACAGGAUUUGGUCUGAAACAUAUCGAUUUGCUGCGUCUGUAUAAUGGUUUCCAUCCCAAUUCACGUAUUCAGCGGUAUUGUUGCAAGGGCUUGCAGUCACUGUGCUCCCAUUCAAAUUCUUGGUUUCGCCGCAAGCAAUCCGGUUGUCAAAGUUUAAUGGCGGCUCACCAUAUCCACAGCACGCUGCUAAAGGCUGCUUGAAGCCUGCAAAGCCAUUGUCCAGCUAUAAGAUUUUGCGGUUGUGCAUAUGUAAAGGACCAUGGAUUUUACUUACCAUAUUGAGAAAAAUUUGAAAUGAGGUUCCAUUUAAUUGAGAAGAUGUCCACAUAAGUGACAUUAGCAUCAGGAAACUGUGAUCGAAACUCUGUAGAAAGAUCGUGUAAUUGAUUGUUGAAAGCAUUUGCUACUCUGUUGUGUGCGUUAACACACCCAAUCUGGUCGAGACUUGAUGCUUUUCUCCCAAAUGUUGCGAUAAUUCUGGGUAAGCAGCCAAGUGGCCCUGUCCCAUGAAUCCAGAAAUUCCUGGCACCCUCGUUGUAUAAUUUCUGCAGAGUUUUCCAGCAAAAUAGGAUAGCAUUUUCAGGGCAAUGUUUAAAUUUUUGCUGAACAAUGUUUUUGAACUUGCUAAAGGAAUGCCAACCUGAAGACCCGUCUCAAACUCUGACAAGAUUCCGGGAAUAUAAGCUCGCAUCUGGCGUUCUGAUCUCGAGUAUAAUGCACCAUCGAGAUCAUUCUGGCCCACAUCAAACACGUAAAGUGCUUGUUUGAAGAAAUGUUCCAGAGGGAGGUACUUCUCAAGGUUCUUAUCUAAAUCAAAAUUGCAAGUGAUCAGUCAUGAAAAUCAUUUUAUGCCCACAUCAAACAUACAUGAAAAGGCACCAUUUCCAAUCUAAAAUCAUGAAUUGAAGGCCUUGCUUGAGAUGAUGUGCUUGUUAAGUGGAGCAGCUGACUAAUACCUUUUGCUAGUAAUUCAAGAACCCGAGCCUUGAAUCUGAUAAACUGAGCCACCUGAAUUCCAAAUGAAAACAGACUUCUAGAAUAUUGAUUUGCUGGAAGUACAGUAGACCCUCCGGUUGCAAAAUUACACCCGGUUUGGAAGUUAGGGUCAACUACAGAAUCCAGAUAUGGACUCAGAAAUGGAUGGUCCAUCGCUUCCACUGCAAAGCCAAAAACAAAUCAAUAGAUGGAAAUUAUGAAAAAUUAUGAUGAGAAGUUGAGAAACAUUACUCAGAAAAUCGAUAAUCAAACGGCCGUCACAAAACCGCCCUGCCGGUUCCUGGAAGUAGGUUUGUCCAUUAGGAGGUCCUACUGGAAAAGCCACUCCGGCAACCAGACCACCAGUAUCAGAAUUUGAAUCACCGAAGUUAAAAACUGCAGGAUAGCUAAAACUCGAAGGAAUAACCACCGGCGCAUAUGAGACAAUUAAAGCUAGUAUCAGCAGAGUAUAGAGUUCAUGAGCCAUGGUUAACCGGAGAAAACUAUAUCUAGCUUAAGGAGCCAGGACCAGAGAAAGAGCAGCUAAAAUAAAUUUUCCCUGAAGUGGCUGCAAAGCAAAGACAAAGUUAUCGUAAGGGAUGCUUUUGCCUUGCACGUCGAAAUAAGCAGUAAUGUAUAUAAAAGGUGACGGAUGACUUGUCUCUUGGAUUCAACUUGUUUUAGCGAGGAUAGCAUACAGAUACAUAAAAUCAAGGCAAUUUCUUACACGCAAAUGUACGCUCAAUUAAUCGAAUAUUAUUAAUUUAAAUAUAAAAUUUGUCAUAAUUUUAACUAGUGUGUCAUCUAUUUUUCGACAGAAUUACAAAGUCGAAGUUAGUGAUCAACCUGACACGCCUGGAAUGGUGCUGAAUUGACUUCAAUCAGGUGAAUAUUUUCUUAAACUUCUUUUUUUAACAGCAAGAGCUGAGGCUUCAUAUUUGAAUUGCUAGUUAUGUUGGAAAUAGGUAGAUGGUGAACUUCACGCCAUCCUUUGAAAAUGAAACAAAAUGCAGAAUAAUUUUCAGAUAAAUAAACCGAGAUUAUGAGGCAGGACUGAUUUAGUUGGCCUACCUAGAUAUAAUUUCAGAAUAAAUUCAUAAGCUAGAAAAUCAUGCAUUUUGCCCCCAAAAUAAAGCAGAUUGAUGAACACUCCUCUACAGUAAUUCUUACAUGAAUGAUCUUUUUAAUUUUCAAGCUUAAGUUUAGAUAAAACUUAACAGGCUAAUUAAAAAAAUUUAAAAACUAUUUAAAAUGAUGAUUUCAAUUUAGCAUUAGACCCAAAUUAUUCAUACCUCCCGGACUUUCGACAUCAAGAAAAAUGACGAUUGGAUUCGGAGCUCAAUGCCCUAGUCAUCGAGCCUUUUCAAAUCCUGGCUCAAAGUAGACCAGAAUCAAUAAACAAGCAUUAAGCGGUUCAAAUCAGCCCAAAAUUAAUAGCUGGGCGGGCAUGAAGCCCAGCUGAAAAAAUAAAAGACUCAACGGGUAUGCUUUGGUCGAACCAAAGCCCCUCCCUUUCUCUCUCUCUUAAACCCCCUCUGAAUCUUUCGUCUCCGCCUCUCUCCGGACAUUCUUCAUUUCUCUCUCAACAUUAUUUUCCACCAUGGCUUCAGCGGCACUGAGAAACCCUAACUCCAAACGCCUUUUCCAAUUAUCUUCCCCAAUCUACUGGUGCUGUCGAGGAUCGGCCUCUGCUCAUUUCGCUGUUUCCUCUUUGCUCGCUGGAAAUGACACUACCUCUGUGUCCGCUGGUCCAUGGUGGAGAUCCAUGGCUACCUUCACUCGGACGUAAGCCCAAAACUUAGCUUGUUAUUUUUUUAUUGGUGCUUACAAGUUAUGUAUGAACUUAAUGGUUGGAGAUUUGUAAUUGGACUGGGAGAAAUAUCUGAAAUAAUUCAACAUCUUUUACUAUCAAAAUUGAUUCUGCUACUAAUAGUAGUUGUGAUAGAACUUGAGCAAAGAGGUCCAAUUUGUAUAUCAUGAUUAUAUUUGUAUUUCAUCUCUCCUUAUCUUUUAGUUGUUGUUAGGUUGAUUGUCAGUUCGUGACUGGGUUGGUUUUCAGAAUGCGUAAUAUCGCUGUGAAAUGUGCUUUAAUUUUCCUUGAUAAACUAGCUUCCAUGAUUCUUCAAAGCAACUAAAAGAAAUGAAGGGGGAAUAAUGAGGGGAAAGAUGACAAUGUUUCCUUUCUAACAUCGUGGGGAAAGAUAUAUGCGUGGUGUCUUAAAGUAGAUUCUUUGCAAUGAGCCUCUUGGUUUCCUUCUUUGCAGUAAACCUCAUGUUAAUGUGGGAACAAUUGGACAUGUUGAUCAUGGAAAGACUACUCUUACCGCAGCAAUAACAAAGGUUUGCCUUUUGAUGCAUUCUUUAUUUACAUCACAGUGUCAUUUCAUGUACCCUGACUUCAUCUUUGUAUUCGUGGAACAUAUAAGUUCCGGAUUACAUCAAUGAAGUGGGUUUAUUACAACAGGGACUCGCACUUAUUUAGAACCUUAAAUAUUUAUAUUUCUAGGUUCUGGCAGAAGAAGGUAAAGCCAAGGCUGUGGCCUUCGAUGAAAUUGACAAGGCCCCGGAGGAGAAAAAGAGAGGAAUUACAAUUGCAACGGUUGGAACAUCAUUCCCAUAGUUUGUUUUGUGAUUAUCAUUUAACUGUGCCAUGAAUGGAUGAUUUUUUGCUUACUUGUCCCUUUUCCUCCAUUAAGCAAAUCUAGUUUUGAAUUUAUUGCAGGCUCAUGUGGAGUAUGAAACUGCCAAGCGCCACUAUGCCCAUGUUGACUGCCCUGGACAUGCUGAUUAUGUCAAAGUAAGUUCUGAGUUUAACUAUCAUGAGACUAAGUAUGCUUUGUUUUUGUUGAAUCCUAUCAUGUCAAAGGCCCAAUCUCCACUAUUGUGUAGACUAUAGGAGGAAUAAGGUGGAGGUUAUGGUCAUGUAUAGCAAGAGUAGGGCACCUUCACCAUUUUUAAGUACUUUUUUUUAAUCUUCACUCAUCAGCUUGGAUUAUAUUUCUAGGCAUGUGCAUAUGCCUAGACUGGAAUUAAGUUGUGCACCUGAAAUGCUACUGGUUUCUUAGAACCUCCUAGUUUAGAAAUGAAUGUCUUUUUUCUUCUUGCUUCGCCUUCGCACAGAAGAACCCCCGGGUGUGACAGUGAACUUAUAUGUCAAUUUAAUAGCAGUAAUUUUCGCUUGGUCUCUUUUCCUGGCAGCAUGUUAGUUGAACAAAUGAUUUUUGUUUCUCUUUGGAAAAGAAUCAUGGGCUCAUUCAGUGAUCUAUUGAUUUUAAUUUAUGUUCAGAACAUGAUUACUGGAGCUGCCCAGAUGGAUGGUGGAAUUCUGGUUGUAUCUGCUCCUGAUGGGCCAAUGCCACAGACAAAGGAGCAUAUUCUGCUUGCUCGUCAGGUGAGCAUCAUACAGUUAGAGGCUUGUGAACAUAUUAGUUUAUUCUUUUCGCUCAUUCCUGUUAAUCAGUUUGUAAACCUAAAGGGAUUCUUUUUACAAUGAAUUGGGCAGGUUGGUGUGCCAUCACUUGUGUGUUUCCUGAAUAAAGUUGAUGCUGUUGAUGAUCCUGAGUUAUUAGAGCUUGUGGAAAUGGAGCUCCGUGGUGGGUAUCUUUUGAGAUUACUGUUUCAAUUGACUGCUAUUUCUUUCUUCUGGAACAUAUAUGUUUUUCAUAAUUCAUGCACUCAAUAAUUUGGCAGAACUGCUUAGUUUCUACAAGUUUCCUGGAGAUGAAAUCCCCAUCAUUCGAGGAUCAGCAUUGUCUGCUUUACAGGGAACAAAUGAAGAAAUUGGGAAAAAUGCCAUAUUAAAAUUAAUGGAUGCUGUGGAUGAAUACAUUCCUGAUCCUGUGAGGCAACUUGACAAGCCCUUCCUAAUGCCAAUAGAAGAUGUUUUCUCAAUUCAGGUAAUGUGGCACAUAUUUUCUACUUGCAUUUUCAUUUACAAAACUCUUGCUGUGAUUGUGAAUUUUAAAAUCUACUUCUUGGGAUGCAAUUUUUCUUGAGUGAUUUAAUUGAUUGCAAACCCUAUUCUGGAUCUGGAUCUAUUCUAUUAUUCUCUUGCCAAAAAGAAUCAUUUUAGUUGUACAUAAGGAGAAGUUGGUUCUUUGGGUUAAAUGUCUAUUGAGCUUUGGCUGAUAUUGUUGUUGUUGUUGUUUGUUUUGUCCUUUUUUUGUUCAAGGGACGUGGAACUGUUGCAACUGGACGUGUUGAGCAAGGGACCAUCAAAGUUGGUGAAGAAGUUGAAAUUUUGGGGUUAAUGCAGGUAACUUUUAACGCGAUUUUCUUUUUCUUUUGUGUCCUUUCUCAUCCUUGAGCAGAUGAUGUACUAUAUGAUUCAAUUUAUAUUGUAGAAAUAUAAUAUUUUGUUUGUUGUAUUUCAUAAUAAAUAUUACAACCUAUUUAUAUAUAAAAGACGGUAUCUAAACAGGAAGGAAAAUCAAGUUUAUGAUUAUACAAUCCCUAAGAUUAAGCAACUAACCCAUCUAUCAAUAUUUAUUUCCUAUAUUAAUAUAUUUACUUCCUAUAAUCUAUGACACUCCCCCUCAAGUUGGAGCAUAAAUGUUAAUCAUGCCUAACUUGUUACAUAUAUAAUCAACUCGUCCCAUACAACUUAGCAGACACCGAAUUUGUGAACCCAACUUCUUUUAAUAAUUGACGUACCCACAAAACUUCACAAAUGGUUUUUAUCAUGACUUGACAUUCAGGUUCAGCACUAGAACGGGCGACCACAUUUUCUCAGCUUGGUAAAACGUCUUACACAUCAUAAAUACGAGAAAUAUUCCCUUUGCCAGAAUAUAAAAAUUUCAAAUAUUCCAUUAAUUCUUUAACAAAUUCAAAAUGAUUAAUAAGACUAAUCACUUUACUGUGAAGAAUUUCGAAUCCGUGAACAGUACUUCGAUGAACAGUACUCGUGACCCGUGAACAGUACCCGAUGAACAGUACUCGUAAACCGUAUCCAAUGAACAGUACUCGUGAACAGUGCCCGAUGAACAGUACCCGUGAACAAUGCCCGAUGAACAGUACCCGUGAACAAUGCCUGAUGAACAGUACCCGUGAACAAUACGUGAUGAACAAAGCUCUAAGUCUCCAAAUGUUACCCUUUAUGGAUAACCCAAAUGAACAGAGCCCUAAAUCUCCAAAUGUUACCCUUUAUGAGUAAUCCAAAUAAACAGAGUCCUAAGUCUCCAAAUGUUACCCUUUAUGAGUAACCAAAUGAAUAGAGCCCUAAGUCUCCAAAUUUUACCUUGUAUGAGUAACCCAAAUGAACAGAGCUCUAGCUCUCCAAAUGUUACCCUUUAUGAGUAAUCAAAUGAACAGAGCCCUAGGACUCCAAAUGUUACCUUUUUAUGGGUAACCCAAAUGAACAAUAUCAAAAAAAGCCUCCAGAUGCCUCCAGAUGUUACCCUUUAUUGAUAAUCCAAAUGUUGGACGAAAUCCACAAGCUAGCAGGUGGACAUCACACUCUCCCCUACUAAAUUAAUUUGCGACGUCCUCAUCGCAACUGAAUUGAAUACAAUUGCUAAACCAAGACCAGACCCUCCGGUAUUGUGGUUCGCUAGUGCCUUAGGCGGCUCCACCACGUCUCACACGGGUAGCCCUUUCCUCGCAAGCCUACUAGCUCUGUGCAAUUUGUCUGACCCAGGGUGGCUCUUAUACCAUGUAGAGAUAUAAUAUUUUGUUUGUUGUAUUUCAUAAUAAAUAUUACAACCUAUUUAUAUAUAAAAGACGGUAUCUAAACAGGAAGGAAAAUCAAGUCUAUGAUUAUACAAUCCCUAAGAUUAAGCAACUAAUCCAUCUAUCAAUAUUUAUUUCCUAUAUUAAUAUAUUUACUUCCUAUAAUCUAUAACAUAUAUCAACCAUUUUUUGGGUUUGUGAUGCUUUCAGUUUAGAUUAUCAUUGAUAUAAGUAACUUUGAACUAUCUUCUGUAGGGUGCUCCUCUUAAGACAACAGUGACAGGUGUUGAGAUGUUUAAGAAAAUUUUGGAUCAAGGACAAGUAGGUCAAUGGUUUUAAGAUCUCUUGGAUUAUUCAAGCUGUUUGACAGUAGUUACUGUACUAUUGCUGAGUUUAUAUUUUCUUUGUUUUUCUAGGCUGGUGAUAAUGUGGGUCUUCUCCUACGUGGUCUAAAGCGAGAAGAUGUGCAAAGAGGACAGGUAAGUGACAACAAUUUAGAGAUACGAUUGCUGUUUGGGAGGUUAUUGAUUCAUUUGAUCAAAUUUAUAAAGUGCACCUUACUGGUAGUGGGACCUGAAUGAUCUUCCUGUGAGCUGGGAAAAAAAAUUAUGAUUCUUGUGAUUUUCUUUUAAAGCUGAAAGGUGCUUAACUGUGAUUUGAAAAAAAAAAUGGAAGCAAAAUUCUUUUUCUUGAGGCAUACAUAACUUUGAUCAAUGUUAAUUUACACAAAGGAUUAUUGUGAUACUUCUUUAUGUUAACAAACUGAGUUUAUGCCUGUCAUGUUGGCUAAUAACCUAAUGAUUGAGUGCUUGCCUCAUAGUGCAAGGGAUUAAGGGCUUUAUCUCUACGCCCCUUUCCCCCCCUUCGAAAAGAAAUAAUAAUAAUAAUGAGAGUGCUCACCUCAUGGUGAAAGCGAUUAAGGGUUUUAUCUCUAGCACCGUACCCCCCUUUGAAUUUAUUAUAAUAAUAAUAAUUAAAGAAAUUAAGCAAAGAUUUUAUUCUUUUUAUUGGUUUAGGUGAUUGCCAAACCUGGAACUGUGAAAACAUACCGUAAGUUUGAGGCAGAGAUAUAUGUCCUCACAAAGGAUGAAGGUGGACGUCAUACUGCUUUCUUUUCCAACUAUAGGCCACAGUUUUACAUGAGGACUGCAGAUAUCACUGGCAAAGUAGAGUUGCCUGAAAAUGUUAAGAUGGUUAUGCCUGGGGACAAUGUGACUGCAACUUUUGAGUUGAUCUUACCUGUUCCCCUUGAAGCAGGUGACUUUGGAUAGACAUCCUUUAUAACAUCUUAUUUAUGUUUGGUAGGGGGAGAAUGAAGAAAAUUUGUUUUUUAUAUCAUUAUUUUUAUCUUCCUUAGGCGCAAUGCAUGUAUCCUUUAUUGUGUCAAAAUUUAAAAAAUAUGAUUAUUUUUAUAGUUGCUGUUAGAUAAAGAGAUGAAGCGUGUAGAUCUGCUGCGCUAAUAUGUUUGUCUGUUGUUGGCUUAACAGGACAAAGAUUUGCCUUGAGAGAGGGAGGUAGAACAGUCGGAGCAGGUGUGGUCUCAAAAGUACUUAGCUGAGUUGUUUUGGAGCCAGAUCUUUUGUGCUUUUUGUCUCCUCUUUCCUUAAAAGAGCUCUAGGUAAGAAGGCUAAGCAAAUGCCAUGUUCUAAUUUUUUACGUAGUCUGCAUUUGAAGCAAUGUUGAUUCUAGGCGUUACUGGAGAAUGGAGAUUGAUUGUUAAGUGAUAGCAAACGAGUUAGGUUGAAAGAUGGAUGUCUUCCAAUCCCUCAUGCAUAGCAGCAUACUGUUGAUCAACAUACUUGAUCUUUUUUGCCCCCUACAGGUUUAUGUGGGUUUAUCUUUAAAUAAAAAUAUCCCUUUCAAACUGUACAACUUUUUAGUCGCAAACUGUACUUCUACUGAACUAUAUUGCAAUGUCACUAAUCAUUUGUAUUUGAAGGGUUUUAUUGACAAAAUUUCAUGGUUGGGAGUCUUAGAGGUGAGGAUCUGAAUGAUUAGCUGAUAUUAAAUGGUGGAUAAAAGAGUGUAUUGAUGACAUUAAUUUAGAAGAAAAUUUCCUUAGUUCUUUUACUUGUGGGAUUUGUGAAAUUGCUGAGAGAUGGGUUCCCUAAUCCUUAUGCUCAUUGACGUGAUGAGAGUGAAUUUAAUAUUAUUAGAUUAAAUAUUUAAUUUUUUCUGUUUAUUUUAUAUGUUUUGAUUAAUUUUACAUAUAUAUUUUUUUAUAAUUUUUGUCUUCAUUUUUAAUUAUUUUAAAAUUAUUAUGCAUUUUUCUUUUUCAUAAUCUUAUUUAAUAUUAUCUUAUUUUUAAAAAAUCUUUUAAAAUAUCUCUUAAUAUUUAAUAAAAUUUAAUGUUUUUAAGAUGUGUUUGGUCGUAAAAGUUAAUAACAAAAAUUAUUUUUCUUUAUUAUGUGUGAAAAAAUUAUAAGAUAUAGGAUUAUAACAUAAAAAAUUAAUAAUAUAAUAAUUAUAAAUUGUAAGUGAUGCAAUUGGAAGUUACCACUUGCUAAGACUGAUCCUUUGAGUGGGCUGCUUUGAAAUAUUUAUUGCCAUCUAGUAAAAAGAUCGAGGAGGUUUAUUUUAUUUCCCACCGGGCUGCUUUGAUUGUUUCCUAUUUCAAAAAAAUUAAAAUCGAAUCUUCAAUUGAAAUUUCCUUAUUUAAACAAACACUUGAAAACAAUUGGAUUAAAACGUUAUUAAUAAAUACAGGGCUAAACUGAUUAUUUGACCACAAAUAUAAUCUGGCUAAUCUCGUCAAAAACUUUUCUAUGCACCGAACAAUUUGCCGGAACCACCAGAUCUUGCAUAUUUCGCAACCGAAUCUUCUGAGAGAAUCUAUAUGUUUAUCUUUCUUAUUGGAUUUAUUUUGUAAAAAAAAAAGGAUUUAAUGAAUUUUUAAAAAAAUCAUGUAUUAUUUUAUUUUCAAAAAUUUUGUAAUUUAAAAAAAAAAUUUCAUUGAUAGAAAAUUUGAAUUAAAUUAUAAUUUUAUGAAAUAUUUAAUUUUAAAAAGGGUAUGAGUGUUGUCAAUGAUUGACUAGUGAGAUGGGAUUGCGCUUAGGAACAUGCUGUGCUUCCUUGAUUGCGAGAAGCGAAGGAGACGGGGGAGGGGUUUGAUAGUGAGGAGCAAAAUUGGGAGUAUGAUAUUAAUGAUUGAAGGGGAAAUUUCAGUUUAAUAAAUUGAAUGGCUUGCUCACAGCGAGCAAUUGUAUUACUUUUGAGUUGAAGUUGAUUUAAUUGACCAUAAUUAAACUGUGAAUGCUACGCUCCACCCUAAAUUUAACUAGGGUUCAAAGUAAUUUUAAUUUUCUUCAUGAUUUACAUCAAAAAAUUGCAUGGACUGAAUUAAACACACUAAUUCCAUAAAUUACAGAAUAAUUAUUUAUGUAUAUAUUUUAUUUAAUUUAGAUAAAUUACAGAAUAAUUAUUAUACAUCAUAAAAAUUUCUAUUUAGUCAUCUUAUUUUUAAGUGUGUUUUUAUAUUCAUAAAUAUUUAAUGUAUUUGCAAAAAGAUACAUUAUAGUAAAGUAUACAAAUAAUUUAAAAUAAUUAUUCUUAGAAAUUGAGAACACAAAAAAUAAGGGAUAUGUUAAUAAAAAAUACUUUAAUAUUUUAACGUAACACAUAUUAUAUUUUAAAUAUGAAUAUAAAUUUUCUGAGUUGUUUAAUUUAAUUUUAUUGUUUCAAUUAUACUUUAUUUUUUCAGUGUAUAUAUCUUAUUAAUGAAUAAGUGAUAUAUUAAUAUCCUGAAAUUGAAAGGGUAGGGAAAGGGAAAGCAUAAGCGGAUGAAUAAGGAAAGCAUAAGCGGAUGAUAUAUUAAUAUCCUGAAAUUAUAUCUUUUCUCUUCUUUUUUUAUUCCAUUUUUGAGUUUUCUUUUGCUUGGUUUUCUCAUUUAUGUUUGGUAGAGGGGAUGAAUAUUAAAUUAAGAAAAUUAAUUAAAUUGAAUUAAUUUAAAAUUUUAAUUAAAUUUUUUAUUUAUUUAUAUUUAAUUUUUAAUUUUAAAAUUUUUAAUUAUUUCAAUUUAGUUUGAUUUUAAUUAAAAAAAUUAAACCGAAUUGACUGGUGAUAAUAAUAUAUUAUUUUCAAUAUAAAGAAAUUAAAUUAUAUUAAAAUUAAAAUAUUUUAAUUAAAUUUUAAAAUAUUAAAAUUAAAGUAUAAAAAAUAAAAAAUUUAUUAAAAAUUAAAUUCAAUCAAAUCGAAUCAAAUUAAAUCUAAAGUCUAUUUAAUUUAAUUUAAUUUUUAAUUAAAAUUAAUUUAAUUUAAAUUUUAUAAAUACUAAAAUUUUAAAUUUUAAUAUAUUUAAUUCAAUUUAAUUUUAAAAUGAAUCGUGUAAAUACCUUUCACAAGAAGACUAACUAAAAGUCACGCACUGUUCUUGCUAAUCAUAAUUAUUUAAAUUUGAAUAAAUAAAUUGUUUUAUUAAUAAAACAAAAUUUUUAUAAAUUGUAAUUAUUUUGAAUUUAAAAUAGACAAAUAAUUUAUAUUUUUUGGUAUACAUCUGGCGACUAGCUAGUAAUUUUAAUUUACCAAAUAAAAAUAGAAGCUGCUUUGACCACCUGGAACAGCCUAUGUUGACCAAAACAGAUAAGUCAAAUUACGGAAACAACCUCCGCCGUUGUUCUGGCUGGUCUGUUGCAACCAUAUACAUCACCGCCUAGUAACAAUAAUUCUCUCCUCCUAUUAUCCUAUAUAAUUAAACCCCACCAUUGUAUCACCCUUACCUCAUCAUUUUCCAUCAUCACUCUCGAUCAUUGUCUCCUCUCAUUUGCUCCUCGAAACCCUAGAACACAAAUUUUAAUAAUUCUUUUUUAAUAAAUUACUGAAUUCAAUUCCUCUCCGAUCCCCUAGAUUUUCGACCCCUUUCCUUCUCUGGUUGUUUGCUCAAUUACGCGAAUUUCGUCCAAUCAGGGGGGGGGGGGCAUGGGAAGGAUUCUCAGAGAAAUUACCAAGCCCUCUUCUUCUUCUUCUUCAUCAUCUUCAUCGGCGUCUAACUCGACGACCACUUCCACGUCGAUCACGGAGACCGUGAAUGGGUCGCACCAGUUCAAGAUCACGGGUUACUCGUUGGCGAAAGGUUUGGGGAUCGGGAAAUAUAUUGCGUCGGAUACGUUUAAUGUAGGGGGUUACUCCUGGGCGAUAUAUUUCUAUCCAGAUGGGAAGAGCGUCGAGGAUAAUGCGACUUACGUUUCUCUGUUUAUAGCGUUGGCGAGUGAAGGGACCGACGUAAGGGCGCUCUUUGAGCUGACGCUUUUGGAUCAGAGUGGGAAGGAGAGACAUAAGGUUCAUAGCCAUUUUGGGAGGACGCUUGAGAGUGGUCCUUACACGCUCAAAUAUCGUGGCAGCAUGUGGUGAGAUAUCGUGUUAUUUUCCUACUUUUUGUAAUUUAAGUUAGUUGUUUUGAGCUGAUCUAUUGAUUUACAGUGCUCAUGGGAUUCAAUAUUUGUGCUGGAUUGUUGAGAGAGCUUCUUUUUAUGUCUUCUAUUUACUAGAAUAGUUGAGACGGUGAAAUAGGUGAUCGGUUUGUGAGCCUUUGGGAUCUUAAGUGUUUUCUGGGUCAAUUUUGGUAUGCAAAAUUGAGGUUACGGCUUUUCUAGUUAAUAACGUGAUUAAUUAGCCAGUUUUGUUUUAAUGCGUUAUAAUUUAUAUUUGCAAACAAAUAUAUGAAACGUUGACGUAGUGGCAAAACAGCGCUAUUGUCUGUGUUGCUACAAUCUUUUCAUUUAUCUAGUAUCCGUGUUUUUUAAUUUCUUGGGUGUUCCUUUUUUUUUUUUUUUGGGGGGGGGGGGUGUUAGGGGGUUAGUGUGCGUUGGUUUUUUUCUUUAUUUUUUUUAUUUUUUUUAUACUAAGUAGUUGAUGGUCAUCUUACAUGGAUAAUACGGCAAGGAUUGAUUAGGUACAGGUCCAUUUUUUAGCCUAUGUACACAAAAUAGGUGCUAUAAUGGCUUUAAAAUUCACAACUUUGCAUGCUUUGUUUAAAAUUGUCUGGGGCGAUAUAUUUGUGGGCCGAUUGUAAUGGUUCAAGUAGUUGAUAUGAUGGCAAUUUGACUACUAGUUGACUUAUAAGAAACCUCAUGGUCGUGUACGUUGUUUCCAUAGGCGGAUGCAGCUGGCAGCCUGGAUAAAUUUGCGCUUGGUAUAGCAAUUCUGUUUUGUUGCGGCAGCAUAUUAUAGUGCAUCCAAGUAAACUUUAGUUUUUGAAUAAACUGACAUAUUUAUUAUCACUAGUGCGUAUGUAAUUUUAAUGGGAUUAAUUGCUUAUGUUGCAGGGGAUACAAAAGGUUUUUCAAAAGAACUGUUCUGGAAUCGUCAGACUACCUCAAAGAGGAUUGCCUUCAAGUUCACUGUAGUGUAGGUGUUGUCAAGUCACACACAGAGGGUCCUAAGACUUACUCUAUAGCAGUACCAUCUUCUAACAUUGGUCAGCAUUUUGGACAACUAUUGGAAAGUGGAAAGGGAACUGAUGUAAAAUUUGAAGUUGAUGGAGAAGUUUUUGCUGCUCACAAAUUGGUACUUGCUGCUCGAUCGCCUGUAUUCAGGGCUCAACUCUUUGGUCCGAUGAAAGAUCAAAAUACCCAAUUAAUAAAAGUUGAAGACAUGGAGGCUCCAGUUUUUAAGGUUGUAUAUUUUAACAUAAUUCACUUGCCUUUAAUAACCUCUUCAGUCUCUCUAUGUUUUGGGUAUCUCUAUCAUUUUGUUUCGAAUUCCAUUUGUGCACAAUUGAGUCAAACUUUUAUUGCUUCAAAUAUUCAAUUAAAAAUGUUCUCUUGCAUUGAAAUUCUUCAUGUGUUUUCUUCUUUUAUUUCCUUUGGAACUGGAUUUACUUUACAUAUUUGUCAUUCCUUGUGCUGUGUUCAAAUGGAUAUUGGACAAAUAUAACAUUGCAUUUUUUUAAAUUUAGCUUUACCAAGUAGUCAACGAGUGGCCAAUUCAUUGCAACUUAGCAAUUGUACUUGAUAACCAUACUCACACUGAUUUAUUGCUUUCUGGUUUCCUUUUCACCUUUCAGGCUUUGCUUCAUUUUAUUUAUUGGGAUUCACUACCUGACCUGGAAGAGCUUACUGGUUUGAACACAAAGUGGGCCUCAACUUUGAUGUCUCAGCAUCUGCUAGCAGCUGCUGAUCGGUAUGGUUUGGACAGGCUUAGAUUGCUUUGUGAGGCCAAUCUCUGUGAGGAUGUGGCUAUAAACACGGUGGCAACUACACUGGCCUUGGCAGAGCAGCACCAUUGUUUCCAGUUGAAGGCUGUGUGUCUCAAAUUCGUAGCAAUGCCAGAAAAUCUGAGAGGUGAGCAUCUUCUUCAAUAUACUUAACUCAUUAGUGUUGCACUUGCAUGAGAGAUAAAACUGCAAAUAUGAAUUGAUGCCUGAUUAUCCUACAUCUCAGUUUGCAUUUCGUUUGACUUUUUUCCCUUUUAGAAUCAGUGCUUGAUAUUUUUGAAUAGUAAUAAUAGUGGUUUUAUGUGAACAUCUGAUUCUGUGUUCUUUUUCCUUUUAUUUUAUUUUUUUAAAUAUUUGAGCUCUUAUAAUAAAUGAUUUUUCCCUUCUUGGCUGGAUAUUGCAUUAUGAAUUUAUGGUGAUGAUGUUGAUGAUAGCAAUAGCAGUAAUAAUAUUAAUAAUAACAAGGGUUACUAAACUAUUUGCUCUCUAGGUUUUGCCAUUAUUGACACUUGCAUCUCUUUAUUAUUGAAAAUAGUUUAAACACAUCCUCAAGUUUGGUUUCUUCUGCUGAUGCGUCCCUCCGUCCUUAAGUCAUAAUUGCCCUUCCCUCUCCCUCCCUCCUUUGUGACCCACUUACACACGAGCCAUUACCAAGAGCAGCCAUUCUUACUGGGUCAGGUCUGUACCUCAUCAAUGGGAUGAAAUGCAAAUGCUCACCCUUCCUUCCUCUUCUUCUGUACACUCAUUUCCUUCUUGAUAUUGCUCUUCCUCGAAUUCAAUUAAGCCAGCCUCCAAACAAAUAUUGCACUACAAGAGCUGCUAUAUUCCAUGUCUUUCUUGCUUGCCAUACAGGAAGAGCAUCAGGGAAGCAAUUAAAUUCAGUACCAAAAGCCCUUAAAGCUUCUCAUAUGGUCAAAGGUAAAUGAACCUAUAUUUGAUUCUAGUGGGGCAAGCACUUUGAGAAACCAGAUUGUUUAUAUAAUACAUGGUCCAAGUAGAAUCUCAUUGGUACUGGCUUCAAAAUUGUUACAAUGGCUGGUGUUAGUUUGUUCUACUCUUCUAGAACUUACCUCACUUCUUCUCUUCCCUCUGACAGUAAACAAGCAAUCCAAACUUUUGUACUGUGCAAGAGAUGGGAGGAAUUAUUCUCUGCAAUUUGUAUUGCUUGAAUGGUUAUUAAUGCUCUCAAUUUCAAACUAUUGAUCGAAACUUCAAAUUUUUGUUGUCCUUAUGGUUUAGGAAUGAAAGCAAAUAGAGAUUUUUUUUUNNNNNNNNNNNNNNNNNGGGAUAGAGAGAGAGAGAGAAUGCCAUGUGGUAUUACUGGAACAAAAAUUUUCUCUUCAUUAGACCAAUGUUUAUAGCCUUGACUAAAUUCGUUAAUGCUAGACUAUAUUGCAUGUGCUUUGAGAGGUGGAGUUGUUUUGGUUGCAAGUCCUUUUCAGUGAGGUCUUCAUGUUCCUUAUAUUAGUGUAGAGCCCUGCCUGUAUCAUGUGAAAUUCACAUGCAGGUGGGGAACAUCUUAAAUGGUUAGGAGGCAAUCCUGAAAUAUCUGUAUGCAUUUCUGUCAAGAUAGCUGAUGCUCGUCACAUUUUUGUUUUUUAGCUGUGAUGCAAACGGAUGGCUUUGAAUAUUUGAAGGAAAGCUGCCCUUCCAUCCUUACAGAACUCUUGGAAUACGUGGCUAGAGUAAGUGAACAUUCAGUAAUACUAUGUAGGCAUGGCAAUGAAGCUAUCCUUGAUGGUAGUGACCUGAAUGGGAGGCGGGUGAAGCAAAGGCUAUAGUGGAAAACUACUAACUUCUUUUCGGUGCAUCAUCUUUGUAGCAAAAACGAAAUUGGAGAAACAAGCUUAGGAGUAGAAAUGAUUUCCCACUUUGUAUGAAUUGUAAAACCACUAGAUCAUAGGGUGUCUAUGAUGGGCUUUGCUAUGUGAAGGUAUCCUGUUGUAGUCUCACCUCUUCUUUUAUUGCCCUUUAAUUUUUGUGACUCGUCACUUUUUGCUUCUUUGUUAGAUGACCGAUUUGUGCCUUGUCGUUUCUCUGCAUUUGUAUUCUAUAUAUAUUGAAUCGAUAGCCGAAGUUAUUGAAACAUUGCAUGUUCUAUGACUUUAAAGGUUCAAUUUGCUUUGCAUAUAUAAUGUAUAUGUGGGCUUUUCGGAUUAUAGUUGCCUUCAGACCUAAAACGGUUGUCUUCUGGGAUUGGAAAGGAAUUGGCUAUAAUUGAAGAAAUGGAAUUCUCUAGUAUUCUUCUUCUUUUUUCUUAUUAUUAUAAGAACAACUCUACUAUAAGUCAUUACUAGUUUUCAACUUGACUUACUAGUAAAUUCAACUUCAAAUUGAGAAUCAUUAAGCUCCUCGUUUCUUCUUAAUUGAAAUUUCUAAGUUAAUAAAAGCAAAAUGAAAUUAUUUUUUUCUCUUUGCUCCUCAUAAUUUUAAUUUAAUGUUAACUAAAUAGUACUAUUACUAUAUAAAAAAAUUCUGGUAUUUUCCUUUUCUUUUCCCCCUUUUUCCAGGUUGUCCUUAAUCUUUGAAAAUUGCUUGAGUGAAUUCAAAGAUGAUAAAAUUCUAAAAAAGUGACCGUAACAAAUACCUUGCUCAGUUUGCCACGCUAUGCUCACACCGGAAUCUGGCAAAAUUCCAGAAACUCACAAUCACAAGUUACUAUUAUGAAGAAUGAGUUGGGCGAAGAAUCAACCAUCGAGAUUAGGGAUUUUAGAGAAGUUUUCUGAGCAUGCAUUCAACAGGAUUUGUUAAUUAAAAUAAAUUUUAACCAUUUGUUAUUUAUAAAAAAUAAAAAUAUAAAUUAUUACAAAUACAAAGAAUAAAUACAAUUUAAUUAACAUUCACCUGUUCAGCUCGAUAGUAAAUUUAUUAAAUUAAAUUUUAAAAAAUUUAAUGUUCAAAACUCUAAUUCCUUACACUCUUAUAAAAAAAUAUAAAUAUAUUUUUAUUAAAACAACCGAAUUAUUAUGAUAUAAUGAUAAUGCAUAUUCCUACAUAUUCAAUAAAUUUUGAAAAAUAAAUUCAAUUAAUUUCUUAUAUUUUUACUAACACUCAAUUUAUUUUUUUAUUAAUUAAAUUUUUAUAUUUUAAGGAGUCAAAUAAAUGGGUGAUUUAAUAUAAUAUUAUUUCUAAUAAUAAAAAUAUUAUUAAUUUUUUUUAAAUUGAAAUAUAGAAAAUCAGUAUUUUAAUCGAUAUAAAAAUUUUAAAAAGUAUAUAAAACUAAUAAAUAAUUUUUAAAUUAUAAAAAUAAAAUUUUAUUAUUAAACAAAACAAUAUUUUAUUAAAUUAAAAUUUAUUUAGCUCUAACGAAAAUAUAGAUAUUUAAUUAGUAAAAAUAUUGAUCAUUACAUAAAGGUAUAAUUUAAUUGGACUUAUUCUAGGGUUAUAUUAGUAAUUUCGAUCAACAUUGGGGAUUUCAAAGUUGAACGCUUCUCCCCUGGGCCGGGAGACGGAUUUGCAGCGACCCCGCAGGAUUCAGGAAGGAAGAGUCGAAGCAAGGAUCCUUGUAGUUUCAUUUUCUCUCUCGAUUCAAUCAGGGAAACAUGGUGAUCUUUCUUUUCCUCUUAUAUAGCCAUGGAUGAAUAUGAAAUCAUCUUUCUAACUUUUUGUUUCAUUUGUUCCUCACACUUUCUCGCGGGUUUUGGAUUAUGGCAGCUUUUCUUUUCGUAUUUCAAGGACUUGGUGGGCAGGGAAGUGACAGUGGAGCUCAAGAACGAUUUGGCAAUCAGAGGAACGCUUCACUCUGUCGAUCAGUACCUCAAUAUUAAGCUCGAAAACACUCGGGUUGUCGAUCAAGACAAGUACCCCCACAUGGUAUUUUUCUCCUCUCACUCUUUUCGCCUUCACGAGCUUCAUAUUUCAUGUUCGUUUUCUGUAGCUAUUAUGUGUUUGAAACUUUAAUGUCGAUCAUUGCUACUCUAUGUUCUUGGUAUGGGUGGUCAAUGGUGGAUUUAUUUUGGGGAAUUAGGGUUUACUGGUUUAGGGUUUUCUGGGGUUGGAGGUUGUUGUAAUGUUGUUAUGUAUAAGCCCUGUAAAGCCUCUUAUCGUAAUUCUUAUUAUGGCAUUAAUAUCGGCAGUGAAAAUGAUGUCCAAGUUUAGCGUUCAGCUUUAAGGUUUGUUAUUUUUGCGUUUGGGAUAUAUAUUAUCGCGUCAUGUGAUUUCUGAAUGAUUUACUAAUGAAGUUGAGUUUUGAUGAUAGAUGUUUUAAUAUCAAAUUUAUCUUUCUCAGUUUCUUCCUCUGAUUAAAAUUACUUUUAACUAUUAUAGGGAAUUUGGUGCUUUGGCCUUUGUGAUUCUCUUUAGCAACAUGGUGAUGGGAUAUUGUUGGAGUUUCCAGUAACUGAUCUGAAGAUGAAUAUCAGUUUGGUAUAUAAUUUGAAUGAUGAUAUGGCCUCAAUUUAAUCAAUGAGUUAUAAGAAUCACAGUAGCAGUGGUCGAAGUUUCGGAAUAGAGUGUCAAAUGUAAUUUUUGUAUGGGCAAUUUAUGUCUCUAUUGGAACUUCUUUUGGUGGUCUUGACACUGGGAGCAUAACUAUACACCCACUGUUGUGCUUGUUUCCUGGUGCAUUAUCUAGAAUGUUUAAAACAAAUCUUAAAAGAAAAUGGUUUCGAUGCCCGUCCAACAAGUUUCUUGAACAAUACCUUUUUUCCUUUAUCCUGUAUAUCUUUUUUGCUGGGACUGGGAGUCCCAACACUCUCUGUGAGGAUGGGUUCAUGUAUUCGUACAUAAAUGUUAUCAGAUAAAUGCUUGAAUCUGUCCAUCAUUUUAAAUUAACAUCAUAUGUCUGAAUCACAGACUUAUUACACACUUCUGUGUGUUGCCAUCUUUCAUGAUUGUGCUCAACUUGUUUAUUAUUAUCAUCAUUUUUCUGCUUUGUGUUUAUAUUUUGGUUUAGUCAUGCUGUUCAUCGGCCUAGCAGUUAGUUCUCCAAAACCACUUGCAGACAUGGGAACAUAUAGUUAAUAGUUUUUUGUGUUGGGUCACAGCCCUAGUUGCUAGUGUAUCUUCCCCUCCCCCUCCUCCUACUUCUUUUAUUCAUCCCUCUUCUUCUCCUGAAUGAAUUUUGCCAUUAUGUUCAAUUGCAGCUCUCAGUCAGAAACUGUUUCAUUAGAGGAUCUGUUGUUAGAUAUGUUCAAUUGCCUCCGGAGGGUGUUGACAUAGAUUUGCUCCAUGAUGCAACAAGAAGAGAAGCUCGGGGUGGGUGAGAUUCAAUUGAAACUGUUGAACUGAUUGGUAUGAAGGUCUGAUGUAAUGUAGUCUAAAGAAGCUGUUUUGACAUUCUAGAUGUUGGAUGUUUGUCCUGGCGACAAGUUCAUUAAAAUUGAAGCUCACUUCUAUAGAGUGGAGCAAAUUGCUAUUGGGUUCGUGUAUGACAAUGUAAUUGCUUAAGAAAAUUGUUUACACACCAAGUAAAAUGGUUCCAAAUUGUAUUGGCGGCAAAAGAAGCUUAAUGAUUGUGUUGCAUCUUGGGGCAAGUAUUGAUCUCACUCUGGAAAGUUGAUGUAUGGUUGUAGCACUUUUGCAUGGAGAUGGAAAAAAAAAAGCAAUAAGUUCAUAUUUAGCCCUGUAUCUUUCACCAAGGAUCAAAUAAGCCCAUUUUUACUUUUUUUUUUUUUGGGUUAAAUAAGUUCAUAUUAAGUCAUAUCAUAUUAAAAUAUCAAGUUUUUAAUAGUAAGAUAUAAUUUCUAUAAUUUUUAAAUAUUAUUUUUAAUUAAAAUAAUAUUAAAUAAUAAUAAUAAUAAAAAAUUCAGUUUGAUUGCUAUUAUAGAUUGAGCUUCAUGAGAUCAAUAUAUAGAAAUUAAAUCAUUAAACUUUACAAACUGAAAAAUACAAAUAUUUAUUUUAAUAUAACAUAAGAAGGAAAAAGUAAUCUAUUUUUGUAAUUUAUGUUUCUAUACAAAAUUAUUUACUGAAUUUAAAAAUUUUGUGCAUCCUCUUCUUCCUUUUCUCCUCAUCUUCCUCCUCCUCCUUCUUCUUUUUCUUCUUCUCCUUUUCCUUCUUUUCCCGAUCAUUUCUCCUCCUUCUCCUUCUCCUCCUCCUCCUUCUUCUCCUCCUUCUCCUUCUCCUUCUGUGUAAAGAGUAGUUUAGUCAUUUCCAUUAAAAUAAACAGAAGGUUAACUGAAAAUUUGACGGUAGAAAUUAUUUUGCAGUUUUUUUAAAUGUGAAGGAUUAAAUUGAAGGUUUUUUAAAAUAAAAAGACGAAAGGUUAUAUUUCACUAAAUUAGAGGGAUUAAAUUGCAGUUUACCCUUUUAUUAAUAUAUAACUUAAUUUUUAUAAAUGUGUAACUUUUAACUUUUUCUAUGAAGGCGUUUUGACUUUUCAAAUGUUAAAUAAUAAUAAUUUUAUAAAAUUUAAUAAUUUAAUAGUUAAAGGUUAUAAAAUGCAAGAGUUUAGUAUUCUUUAAUAAAAAUUAGGUUUAAAUGUAAAUAAAAUAAUUUUUUUUAAUAUAAAAGUUAAAUGUUAUACGAUGUUAUUAACCUUUAAAUAAAAUAUUAAUAUGUAUUUGUAAAGGUAAACAUAUAAAAUUUUUCAUCAAACUUUAAAUAAAAAAAGUAAGUUGAUAUCAUCAUUAAUAUUUAAUAUUCAAUUUUUAUAAAAACACAAUUAUUUAACUUUUAACGUUUAUAAAUACAUUUAUAAAAUUUUUAAUUUUUAUAGAUACAUUAAUACAUUUUACAAAUUUUAUAAAUACAUUUAUAUAAUAUUAAUCAUAAAAAAAAAUUGCUUACUCAUGAUGAGAUCAUCGAAUGGAUUGAAUUAGAGUGAAUAAUAUUCGGUUCAAAUAAAAAAAAUUAAGCGAAUUGAAUUAAUUUAAAAUUUUAAUUCAAUUUUUUAUUCAUUUAUGUUUAAUUCGAUUUUUAAUUUCAAAAUUUUCGAUUAUUUCAGUUCGGUUUAAUUUUGAUUAGAAAUAAAAAUUAAAAAAAUCAAACCAAACCGAUUAGUAAUAAUAUUAUAUUAUUUUCAAUAAUAUUGAGAGAUUACAUUAUAUUAAAAUUAAAACAUUUCAAUUAAAUUUUAAAAUAUUAAAAAUAAAAUAUAAAAAUAAAAAAAUAUUAAAAAUCUAAACUGAUCAAAUUGAAUUGAAUUAAAUCGAAUCAGAUCGAUUUGAUUCAAUUUAAUUUCUGACUAAAAUCAAUUAGAUCAAUUUUCAUAAAUAUUAAAAUUUUAAUUUUCAAUUUAUUCGGUUAAAUUUGUUUUAAACUAAACAGAUCGAAUGCUAAUUCUUAAAUUGUAAGGUUAACGUUUUAUGAAAUUAGUUAAUUGUAAAAUUUGUGAAGGCUUUUAUUAAUUUAGGGUUGAAAAUAAUAAAAAAAAAUGUCAAUUUAAGAUUAAUAAUAAAAUAUUUAUAAAUUUAGAGUUCAAUCAACAUGAAACGGAUGACAAGUCAUUAUUUUUUUUUAUUUUUAAAAAUAAUCUGACGCGAAAGUGUGAUUUAAUUUUUUAAUUAUUAAAAUAUUAUAAUUAUAUUAAUUAAUUAAUAUAUUAUUUUUAUAUUAUAUUAAUUUAAUAAUUUUAUUUAUAUUAUAUAUUUUUAUUAUAAUAAAUUUUUUAUAAUAUAUUUUAUUAAUUUUAAUAUAUUAUUAUAAUAAUAUUGUAAUNNNNNNNNNNNNNNNNNNNNNNNNNNNNNNNNNNNNNNNNNNNNNNNNNNNNNNNNNNNNNNNNNNNNNNNNNNNNNNNNNNNNNNNNNNNNNNNNNNNNNNNNNNNNNNNNNNNNNNNNNNNNNNNNNNNNNNNNNNNNNNNNNNNNNNNNNNNNNNNNNNNNNNNNNNNNNNNNNNNNNNNNNNNNNNNNNNNNNNNNNNNNNNNNNNNNNNNNNNNNNNNNNNNNNNNNNNNNNNNNNNNNNNNNNNNNNNNNNNNNNNNNNNNNNNNNNNNNNNNNNNNNNNNNNNNNNNNNNNNNNNNNNNNNNNNNNNNNNNNNNNNNNNNNNNNNNNNNNNNNNNNNNNNNNNNNNNNNNNNNNNNNNNNNNNNNNNNNNNNNNNNNNNNNNNNNNNNNNNNNNNNNNNNNNNNNNNNNNNNNNNNNNNNNNNNNNNNNNNNNNNNNNNNNNNNNNNNNNNNNNNNNNNNNNNNNNNNNNNNNNNNNNNNNNNNNNNNNNNNNNNNNNNNNNNNNNNNNNNNNNNNNNNNNNNNNNNNNNNNNNNNNNNNNNNNNNNNNNNNNNNNNNNNNNNNNNNNNNNNNUUUAUAAUUUAAUUUUAAUAAUUUAUAGAAUUAUAAAAUAAUAUUAUUAUGUAAUUAAAUUUAUAUAAAAUUAUUGGUAAUUUACACUAUUAUUAUAUUAAUCUAUUAAAAUAAUAAAAAUUUUAUUAUUGAACUAAUAUAUACAAUAUCAUUAAAUUAUUUUUAUAUAUCUAAUUUCAACCCAAUUAUUUCUAUACCUCUCAUCGCAAUAUAAUAUUAAUUUUAUGAUAUUUAAAUUAUAUAAUAUAAAUAAUUUUUAUUUAAAUAUUAAUAAUAAAAUAUAUUAAAUAUUAAUAUAUUAAAAUUAUAAAAAUAUAAUAUAAAUAAUAUUAUUAAAUUAAUAUAAUAUAAAUAUAUUAUUAUAAUAUAUUAAUAAUUAAACAACCAUUUUAAAAAAUAAAAAAGAAAAUAAUGGUUCCGGUUAAACCCAAAUUUAUAAAUAUUUUAUUUUUAUUUUAAAUUCAUAAUUUUUUUAUUUUUAAUUCUAAAUUAACAAAAAAAUCCCGAUUAGAAAUAAGACUAAAAAAAUCUCAAUUUUUAUUUUAUUUUUUAUAGUUCAUGAAUUAAAUUAAUAGUAUAAUUUCAUAUUUUUAUAUUUGAUGUUACAUUUUUUAUCAGAAAUUAAUAAAAUUACUAUAUUAUUUUGUCACAUUUGAACUUUUAAAAUUGAGAAUAUAAUGGGUUAUAAUUUAAAAAGUUAAAAUUUAAUUAUUUUUAAAAUUUAGAAUACAAUUAGAAAUUUUUUAAAGAUUAAUUUUUUAUCAUUUCUCCUAAUAUUAUUAUAAAUAUUUUUAAUUUUAUCAAUGAUUUAAUAUAUUAAUUUUAUUUUAAUUUAAUUCUAAAUUAACCUAUUUUUUAAAUAAUUUUUUUCUAGUGAUAUUAAUUAUUAUUUUAAUUUAGAAAAUUAUAUAUUUAACAAUAUGAUUAAAAGUGAAAAAAUUAUUAUUUUAAAAAAAUAUAUUAAAAAUAAUUAUAACUAUUUUAUUAUUUUAUAUUUUUAAAAAUAAAUUAUAUAAAAUAUUUUAAAUUAAUUUUAUAUUUUCAAUUAUGAAAUAUAAUUAAUAUAUAUUAUUGUUCAUACAUUUUUUUGAAACUAUAAUAAUAAUUAGUAUGAAUGAAUUAAAUUAAAAUAAAUUGAUAUAUUAAAUUAUUAAUAAAAUUAAAAAAUUUAUAAUAAUAAUGUAAAUUAUUUUUUAAUAUUAUAAAUUUUAAGUUUAAAAAAUAAUAAAAAAUUUUAAUUUUUUAAAAAAUUUAUAAUCACACUCUAAAUUUUAAAAUUUAUUAAUUAAACCCAAAACCUAUAAAUCAUAACUAAUUGUACUAUAAAUUAAUUUUACUGAUACUGUUAAACGAUAUGAUAAUUUUAUUAAUUUAUAAUAAAAAUGUAAUAUUAAAAUAUAAUUAAAAUAAAUAUAAAAAUAUAAAAUUUAAUUAAUGAAUCAUAACAGAUAAAAUAUAAUUAUAAAAAUAAAAAAAAUUCUUUUUGUCCUUACUAAUAUUAGGAUAACUUUGUUUGAGUCAAAUUAUGCAUUCUAAUUCAUUUACAAAUAUUUGAAAUAAAAAUUUUAAAAAAAUCCAAUUAUUUUUUUAUGAAUUUCUUAACUUAGAAAUUUUCAUUUUAAAAAAUUAAAAUUAUAUAUUAUAAUAAUCUAUUUGAAUUAUUUCCUAAGAUAUCAUAUAGUUCGCCACAAACCAAACUUUAGAAAUUCCUGUCUCCUUCCAAGUAAGGGUGUUGCGCUCUCCUUCCAAGGAGGGGUGUUGCUGUCUCCUUCAGGUCUCCUUCCAAGUAGAACUUCCAGUCUCCUUUCCAAGUCCCGGCUGUGUUCAGUCCCUGUGAAUCCUUCGGCUUAACUUUUCCUAUUGAUCAAGAAAAAAAAUACCCCACUGAUUUUAGCGGAUUUCAGCUACAUGGAUUCCGAUUCUUACCCACCAACAAAAGCCCUAACCACAAGGUUCUUCCCUCUGUCUCUCUGUGUGUUGCUGCUUGGUUUGAAGGGAAAAUGUGGAAAAGGAAUGAAUUUUACUUCUCGUUUUCGCUGUAUUUGCGCGUGUACUGUAUACAAUUCCCUGGAAUAAUGAUCAUUUUAGGCCUCCUCUAUAUUCUACUCAAGUGUAGUUGUUUCUACUAAUCCAAGUAGACUAACCUUGGCGAGUACCAUAAUAGUAACUUACAUUUAGAGUGUAAAAUCAAUUGCAGACAUGCCUGUAUUAGAGUAAUAUCACGAUGUGAUAGAAAAUUGCUGAACAUAUCAUUAUGCAUUGUCAAUAAUACAUAUCCAUCCAUCAGGAAAUUUCCAGAAUUUUCCAUAUGGAAUUUCAGACGAAUUUCUUUGCAGAAAGACAUAUACCUUCCGUUUAGCAUGAUUCAUUUUACAAUAAAAGAUAUCAAAUGAAUUCUUGCAAGAUUUCUACUUCUCUUAAAAUGAUUUUUUUUUAAAGAUAAAAAGAAUUGUAUUCUUUCAUUCCAUAUAAGAUAAUUGUUAGAAAAGAAAUCAAUUGAAUUGAAUUCUUAUAAAAUUUUUUAUUCCAAACAGAGGAUAAUUUUUUAAAAAAAACAGAGGGAUAAUGCUUAGUUGCAUAUUUUGUUAUUACUUGUUAUAUUAAUCAAUAAACUAUAUGACUGACCAACUUCAGUUUCCAGUAUAUAAAAUUGGCAUUAUUGUUUUGGAUUCUAGAGUGAUGAGUAGAUAUCUUGGUCUGAUUUAAAUAGGAUAAUUGAAAAUAAUGUAUUUGUUUGCAGGUACAAAUGUUAUGCAUGCUACAAGCAAUAUAAGAAAAAGGAACAUCUUGUUGAACACAUGAAGAUCUCGUACCACUCAGCUCAUCAGCCCAGAUGUGCAGUUUGUCAGAAACACUGCAAAUCUUUUGAAUCUCUGAGAGAACAUCUUACAGGUGUGGUUCUAUUCCAUGUUUAUCCUGCUGUAUCUGUUAAUAAGUUGAUUAUUUUGGCUUAUACUCUUAUCGUUUAGGUCCGCUGGCAAAAACAAAUUGUUUGGGUAUUUUCUCGGACCGAGGUUGUGAUCUUUGCUUGGAAGUUUUUGAUAGCCCUUCUUCUCUUAACAAGCACAGGGAAAUGUGUUGCCUUUCUGCACCUGCUUCCCUUGUAAGUGGAUUGUUAAGAUUUGAAGGAUUCCUUGAAGAAAUUAAGAAACCAAUCUUUUUAUAUUGCUUCUAGUUUAUUUUUCUCUUUUAAGGGGUCAAUUAGUGAAGGUUAUCAUCAUCACUUGCUUUUAGGUGCAUAAAUUUGGAACUUUCUGUUGUUUAUUGUAGGCAACUGAGAUACCAACUUGCACAGAAUCACAGAUUUAUGUUUCAGGAUCAAUUGAUGAAUCUUAUGCUUGCAAAGGUGGUGAAGCUGUUGCUAUUGACUGUGAAAUGGUUGGUGGUGGAAGUGAUGGAUCACUUGAUCUUUGUGCUAGGGUGUGCCUUCUUGAUGAAGAUGAAAACAUAAUUUUCCACUCGUACGUUCAACCUCAAAUUCCUGUAACCAACUACAGGUACUUUUAAAAUCCUAUGUUAUCAUUUAAUUCUUCAAAAUACAGAAAGCAUUAUUAGGUAUAUUGUCAUUCACAUCUAUUCAAAUGUUUCAGAUAUGAAGUAACUGGGUUAACUGAAAAACAUCUAAGAGAUGCCAUGCCGCUUAAGGAAGUGCAAAAUAAAAUAUUAGAAAUUUUGUACAAUGGGGAAUCUAUUGGAAAACUAAGGUUGAGUGGUGGAAAUGCAAGGCUUCUUGUCGGUCAUUCACUGGACCAUGAUUUGGAUUGUUUGAGAAUGUUCUAUCCUGAUCAUCUGUUGAGGUACAUUUAUAUUAGAUAGACUGACAUGAUAUAAGAUUAGCUCAUUUAAUGUUCCAUGAUGAUGAAGUUAUUUUGGAUGAAUCCUUAUGGUACUUGAUACAUAUUAUACAUAUCUCCAUUUGGCAAAAAUCAAUUUGCCCAUUUCUGGGGGGAAGGAAUCCUAAGAUAUUACCAUCAGUGACCUUGUCUGGGACUUGGUUAAUAUCAUAGACAUUUUACUGGUAUGUAACCAAGUCAUGUUUCCUCACAUUAAUUGGAUACAGUAUCUUUUCUUUGUGUAUCAAGCAUCACUGGGAUUCUGGAAUUGAUGAUUUUGCAAUGACUGUUUUCUAGUGUAAUAACUGUCCAAUAUCCUUUCAGAAAUAUGUGGACAUUCCUAAUUGCUUAUGUGAUUAUAUUAUCAUAAGGGCAGUUCUUUGAGGCAUUAAACACCUUCCCAUCAGCGGCUGGCAAUCUUUAGAAUCAUCAGAAUAGUUCACUAUUUUUUGGCAAGUCUUAUAUGAGCAAUCAUAAUGAGUUUGUCUUGGUACUUGCAAACUAAAAAUUGAUUGUUGUUAACGUAAAUACUGAGGAGCUCUAUUGAGUAAAUAAAUAGAGGAAAUAAAGUAAACAGGUUUAGUAAAGUUCUAUUGAUAGAUUUUCUUCCUUCAGAUAUUUAUAUCUGGAACAAAUAAUUUGUACUAUUCAAUAUAAUUCUUUUUUUGGUGUGCUCUCCCCAGUUUUACAUACUUUAGCAGUGUUACACUUUCCGCCAGUUGACCAAAAGAGUCUUGAUCUUUGUGUGGUUUUUCAGUUUUGGCCCAACCAGUUAAACUUUAAUUGGUUUUAUUGUGUCUAAUAUAGUGAGGUUAUUUGAAAUGUGUAUUUAGGAAGCUCGGCUGCUAAAAUUUACUUAUUUUCUGUAUGGUAUUAAAUUUUGAUCAUUUAGGGAUACAGCAAAAUACCGUCCUUUGAUGAAGACUAAUCUGGUUAGCCACUCACUGAAGUACCUUGUGCAAACCUAUCUAGGGUAAGUCACUCAUCCUUUCUGGUUUAUUGCUCAUGCUGAUGUUGAAUUACUCUACAAUGUUUAUGCAUUUAUUUUUUGCUCUUCUUCUUUUUCCCGAUUCCUUUUAUUAUUACCUAUUUGAAUUCCUCUGCGCUAUCUAUAUUGCUGUUUCUUUUUUUGGAAGUCAAAUGCUUGAAAUGACAUACUUUAACUCUUUGUUAUACACUCUGAUUUUACAAUGCAGAUUUUAUGCCUUUUAGGAUUAUCCAUUCCAGUGGAAUGUUUUGCAUUAUGAUGAUGCUUAAAAGAAUGAAGUAACAUGUUCAUAUACAUUACAAUACUAAAUGUUUGUGGUCCCAGAAUUUGUUUAAGAGACCAACAAGUUUUCUAAACUUGUAGUGGAAAAGACUGGAACAAUAUCCAAACAGGAAUUUUGGGGAAGUCGGUUGAAGUAGAGUUUAAGAUUUGGCAAAAAAGACUUUUAUGUCUUCUUUUUUUUUUUUAUUGUGGAAGUGGUGGGUGUGUUGGGUAAGUCUCUUCCUCUUUGAUGCUGUUCUUCUUUGACAUGAGAGGAUAGAUUACCUAAAAUCACAUAUUUCUUCUGCUUGCAGCUAACAGAUGUAACUUUAGCUGAAUUUGACAAACAUCAUAUUCUUCCAUUUACUUAAGGCCACUCUGACAAGUGACAAAACAUCAUACUUACUACAAGACAACAUGCUUACUUUUACCUUUUUUCACUGUUACACGGGCCUUGACUAUGUAAUCUACCAGAAAAAAAAGCCAUCCGCUUGUCAUAACAAAAUUUCUGCUUCACAGAUAUAAUAUUCAGACAGGGGUACAUGAUCCUUAUGAAGACUGUGUGUCAGUGAUGAGACUUUACAAGAGAAUGCGUGCCCAAAAUCAUCAUGUUGAAGGUUCAGGGAUACAAAGUAUAUGUGGUGGUUUUGACUUCUGGAAACCCAAGGAACUUGAGAAGAUGACUCCAGAGAAGCUAUAUGAGAUCUCAAGAUCAAACUACAGAUGUUGGUGCCUGGACUUAAAAGGCCAGCAACCCGGCUUAAUAUAGAUCUUCUGAACAAGUAGAAAAAUUGAGAGGUAAUGCCAUUAUUUUCCUGCUUUGCUACAUGCAUUAUGGAUAAGGUCACAUACCCCAAUCAUUAUUAAAAUUUCAGAACACUUGUUACACCCUUGCUGAACAUUACAUCCUCGUGUUCAGACCAUAAACUUUCUUCAUUGACAUUUGAAGAGGUUUGUAUAAAUCAAUCAUUGACUGGCCAGUCUGCCCCUCACAGAGCCUCAGUUCUUUCCAUGUUAAUGAUGUAUAUUGUUGUCUUUAUAUUUUGGAUUUCUUUAUUAGAUCUCAUUUUUACAUUCUCAGCGCAAUAGUGAUUGUAUAUUAUAUACAUUUUGUAGGUUCAACAGCUGUAAAUGGGAUCCUGCAGUUCUUUCUCGCCUUUUGGUUUUUGAGGAGUCUGCCAAGCUAUGGUGGCUAUUUUUGGCUGCUCACAGGUUAUAAACAUGACGUCUAAGAUUUGAAAUAGUUUCUUAAAAUUAAUUAUUGAUCAGUAUGGGUGUCUGGGUGGAGAAGAAAAUCUUGGUCCCAAGAGUUUCUGUACAGUUUCAUAGAUAUAAUAGUAUAUAUCUUUGAUAUUAUAACUUAUUUUAAUGAAAUUUUAUGGUCAUGUAAUGUUUUCUUUCACCGCUGAUUUUAUUUUGUCAGACUAAUACAAAGAAGAGUUAUUCUGCAAAAAAAAAAAAAAAGGUAAUAAGGUAACAAACGGUUUCUCCAUAGAAGAGGAACAGUCUUCUUCUCUCUCUUCCAGGUUCUUAGCCAACAAGGCUUUUUCCGGAUUAAACCUUGUGCGGUGGACUGGACUUUAGGGGCAGGAUUUGUAAAGUUGGUGGACCAAUUUGCUUUCUCUCUCUCACUCUCUCUCUGUUUUUUUUUUCUUUUCGACUUUUGAAAAACCAAAAGACUUGGAAAAAGCCAAUGGCGUUAGACAUUUUGAAUGACAUGAAAUAAUGAGUAAUUUACAGUAAUAUAUUAUCUGAGAAUUGGAUGACAUCCUUGCCUUUUAGUAAGAAGCUAUUUAAUUGCAAAAACUAUUUAGAAGAUGUAAGAUUUCAUGCAAAAUAAUUAUCAUUCAUUCAUUUGAAAUUAAAAAUUUGAUAAGAAUUCAAUUUAAUUUAUUUAAUUAUUUUUUAUUUCAAAUAAAAAAUUUUAAUUUUUUUUUCUAACUUGAAAAGAAUUCAAAGAAAUAAAAUUUUUGUGCAAUUUUAUAAAAAUUUAUUAAUUUUUUUUAUUUUUAUAAAAUAAAUCAUAUCAAAUAAGGACAUGCGAAAUUAAUCAAUCACAUUUCAAAUUUAAUAUUUAUAAUAAUUUAAUAUUUUAGAUUUAAAUCUAAAUUUAUUUCUGUUAUUUAUAAUUAAAAUUGAAAUUAAAUGCGUUAAAGAGAGCGUUUGACUAGAUGAAUUUAAAAUGAAAAAAGAAAAAGCACUGAAUGAAAGGAAAGAAUCACUUUGAUUGAUGAAUAAAAAAAAUAAAAGAUGAAAUUUAAAAUAUGAAUUAAAAUACUUUUUAAAAAAUCCAAAUUUUAAGUUAUAAACUAUUCUUAAUUUUAAUUAAUUUAGAAUUAGUUGAUUCAAAACAAAAAAAAAAAUUUAGAAUUAGUGGUUGUAUUCUUAAUAUUUGAGCAGGUAAAAGUAUGAUUCUAGAGUCUAGACUACAUCACAGGAAUAAGUGCCCGCCUCAUGAGCUUGACUUUGCUUCUUCGAGUCCACACGCUAAGCCAUUGGGGAAAUUUCUCAAACACUUGGCUCCAGCUCCGUUCUCCGAUACACAAAGGGAGAAAGGAGCAAGCUUUCUCUCUCUCUCGCUCUCUCUUUAUUCUGUCUUCAACGCUUUCUUCUCUUUCUUUGUUGUUCUCCAUGAAUCCCUCUGCGUAACAUUCCCAAAUAUAGAACCUCAGUAGAUUUUACAAGGAGAGAGAUGGCGGUUUCCCUGCAGCCGAAUCAACCGACUCUCUGGGACUCGGUCCUCCAACUCACCAAGUCGGCACAGGAGAAAAACAGCGACCCUCUGCUCUGGGCGAUUCAGCUUAGUUCCAGCCUCAACUCCGCCGGGGUCGUCUUGCCGUCUACCGAGUUAGCCCACCUGUUGGUCUCCCACAUCUGCUUCGAGAAUAACGUGCCCAUCACGUGGAAGUUCCUCGAGAAGGCAUUGACCGUCAAUAUUGCCCCUCCUAUGCUUGUCAUCGCUCUUCUCUCUACCAGGCACGUCGGUCCCUUAGCUCAACACUGUACACACACUAUCUAAUUUCUGUUUCUUUUCGAAGUUUACUAGGUAGGUCAUUUUUUUGGACACUUGCUCUCUUUUUUCCCCUCUGAAGGGGAAAGGGAGGUUUAGCAAUUUUAUUUGGGCAUGCUGUGUGAGUUGUAUCCUAAAGACCAUUUAUUUAAUUAAUUUAAUUUUCUUGGGAGUAUUUUUGCAAUAUAAAUGCUAGUAGCAUUGGUCAGGCAGAAAAAAGGUUUUGGCAUUUUCUUUCUAUUGGCAAAAUAGUGAUAUGUGGCGGAACCAUUUUAGUGUUGUUUUUGCUCAUUUUAUGUUCUGCUGGGUGACGGACUGACGGUUCUCUAUUUUGAUCUCUCAAAACACUUAAACUGGUUUUAUUUUCUUUAUGUUGAUGUUAAUAUUAUUUAUAUGCUACAGGGUGAUUCCAAAUCGGCAGCUUCACCCAGCUGCAUAUAGGCUUUAUCUGGAACUCGUUAAAAGGCAUGCCUUUGCAUUUGCAUCUCAAAUCAGUGGACCAAAUUAUCCAAAGUAAGUUUUAGUUAUCGUACUUCAAUUGCAGGAGAACUCUUUACCUUUGGCUUUUUUUUUUUCAAUCUCUAUGAACUUCUAUUAUUUCUUCUUCAUUUCUGUCAAAAUGGUCGGACACAUUUCAGAAUUGCACUUGUUCAAUAAUAGUAUUAUUAAGCUAGACAGUGAUUCUUGCUGAACUUCUUGGUUAAUAAGUUCUAUGGUGCCAAUGAGUUGUUUCUGCUAAAUCUUUACAAUGUGGCCCUCAUCUAUUCUAAUUCUGGUAUCUGAACUUGAUAAUUUCAAAGAUAAUCUAGCAAAAGCAUGUGUAGGCUUUACCAUUCUGAUUAUUGCCAGUUGAAUUCAACAUUUUCAUUCUAAUAACACCUGAUGAAUCAAGUGGUUCCAUUUAGCUGUUAACACUUAGUGUCUUAACAGAAGAAAUUAGAACAAUUAGAGUGUUCAAUUGG